UAUUGCAUAACUAUAUAUUUUCUGUUGUUUUGUUCUUGGGCAAUGGCGAACAAUGGCAUCUUCCAAGUGAUCAUUGUUUUUCUCAUGGCGCAAGUCUGCUUGCUCAUGAUAAUGGCAGCACCGGUAGCACAUGCAGCUGCUAGACCGGUGGGGUACAAUCCAGUGUGCUGCCCUAGGAACAUCUAUUGUUGCGGGUUCGCUAGCGGAUUGGCCAAUUCACCCGCACCAUCCAUUGUAUCUUGAUGUGUGGCUUUAUUCUCCCCCAAGUAGUAAGCUUAACAUAUAAAUGAUAUAUGUGGUUCAUGUGUUACCUAAUCCUAAAUUUUUGUGAUGCUACUUUCAAGAAGUUAUUGUACUAGUUACUUACAUAAUUAAAUGGGAGGAGAUUAUUAUAUAUCUUGUUCGGAAUAUAGCGCAAAGAGACUAGCUUAUGUUUACUUUAGUCCUUUUGAAAACCAGAUUAUUUUGCCGCAUUGAUUUAAGAAGAAGAAAAAAUAGUGGCCAAGCAUACACGUUGACCUGAUGAGUCUGUAGUGCGUUCCUUUGGGAAUCUCUGUUUUAUCAUUCUGUUGGUCGUACAUUGUGUCAAGAUCGUCCGUGUCAUGGCGACAUGCUUUAUUUUCGCAGAGAACAUAAUUUUUUAAAGCAUUUAUGGGGUAAUGGAGUAUAUCGCCAAUUAGUAGAAACCAACUACUAUUGACAGGCUUGUUUGUGAAUUCAGGGAUGCACAAUGUUUCGUUUUGCAUGAAUGCCAAGGUCAUGUAUUAAAAUGGUCUCGUCCCCGACGGCGGUAGAUCCGGGCCAGGAUCAAAGCAGGUGCCAAGGACUUGAUUGCUUUUUAGUUUCGUCCUUUGGGGUCCUAUUUGCAAAGUUUCUCACCUGGACUGUAAUUUCUACUUUCUGUUGGGUCCUUUUGUAAAAUGUUGCAUGCUUAUCUAAUUUAACUCUGGGCUCUUCCCGAGUUCAAAAAAAAUUAAAAUGGUCCAACCCUUACAACACCAUCCUUCCAAAAGCAUAAAAUAAAACACAUACCCUCGUGUAUAUCAACGACGUCUUUCUCCCGCACUUGCACCUCAUUGGCAAAGCUCGAUAUUGCAUUUGGAUAUCCAAAACACCCUCAGAGCCAGGGUAAACCACUCUCUGCGUGUGCUCAAUUCCUCAGAAAACAAUCAAAAAAUCAUAUAUGAAUACAACUCUUUGCUCUUUGACGGAACACAGAAGGAUUGUUUGUUGUGGAUCCUAUAUGUGUAAUCUAUCUAUCUAUACUAUACCAAUUAAAGAGUUCUCAGAAACUCCAACGAUUAAUCAAAAAUUACGAACCAUUCAUCUGGUGGGACCGAGUUUGGCACAAGGUCUGGCCAAGAACUGGAAAAGGGAAGGGAAAUGGACGGAAACUAAAGUGAAGGUAGAGGAUCAGUAGACAAAGAGAACUGAAGGCCCUGUCCUGAGCUACCCACUAAGCUUAGGCGGUUUCGAUAGUAGAUGCAGUUUUUUUAUUACCAACCGCCUCCAAUACUUACUGCAAGCGGUUAUGCUGUUCUAACCGCCUCCGGUGUACAUAUUACACGCGACGUCGUUCUAUUUGAUCACAAUCACUUGUGGAGGCUGCUUCUAAUGCCCGUUUUCUAUUAGUAGAUGUUGGUUUCGUGCGUCAACUUGUGAUGAUUGCUUUGUUUAUGGCCGCCUUCGGUGAAGUCAAAGUCGCUGGAUCUAGGGCGAUAAGUGAUGAUGAUGGUUGCUCUUUCCGGUUGUGUCUGGAGUACGUCUACGUUGGUAGCUAGAUUGGCCGCUGCCAUGUGUAUUGUUAUGUUCCAUGAUGAUAGUCUGUUGGGUGUAUUGUUACGGUUUUUGCCAAUUUUCCUGCAUUAAUACGGGGAAAAUCUUCUGUCUCGUUUUUUUAAUUUUUGCAAAUUAACUAACUAGUAUCAUGUAAUACGGGGAAUGACGCCAGCCAAACAAACAAAGGUUUUGCACCGAACCACUUGCGGAAUUGGCCUGAUUGCGGUGAGCACCCGCCACACACAAACAGAGUGCAUGCGGACUGACACUACACUCACACACAUUCUCCUACCUACGUGUUUAAGUAGACUACGAUGACGACGCCAAGGGCAGCACGCUGACCGCGCUAGUUUUUUUUAAUGUUUAAGUAGACUUUGGCCGACAGUUGACCGGUCAUUAAUGUUCAAUUAUGUUUAUUUCGGCCGCGUGGUUUCGGAACUUCUGCUUUCUUUUUGACACGGGUGAAAAUGGGUCGGCCAUCCGUCAGAUGCACCAGCCGACUUAAGCCAGAAAGCGGACGCGUCCAUCUGCUCGAUUAAUCCAAACGGACAAAAGGCGGAUAAAACACACAUCCUUGGCUGUGCGCGUUGGAAUUGCCCUAACGUACUCCGGUGAAGGACGCCAGCCAAACAAACAAUGGUUUUGCGCCGAACCACUGGCGGAAUUGGCCUGAUUGCCGACGCGGCUAGCCGAGCUAGCUAGGCCGAAAACAGGGCGCACCCGCCCACACAGAAACGGAGUGCACACUGACUGACACUGUACUCACGCACAUGCUCCUACCUACGGUACGUGUUAUCCUAAGAUGCGCUGCCAACCCCGAUGGAUCGAUCGAUGCCUCCUCUUUAUCCUGUGCAGAGUGUAGUGGAGCGCCCGCCCGUCACGUGCUCCGCUUUCCAUAAGACGAACGACAACGAGCCGCCGCCACCUGUUCUCUGCCGCAGCGCCGGCCAUCCCGCCCGCCCGCCGCUCGUCUCAAAACCGCGGUCUCGCUUCCCACCGAAUCAAAUCGCCUUUCUCCCCGCCCGCUGGUUGCGCGGUUUCCUGCAACCUAUAAAAAUUCAGCCGGAGAACCGCACCUGUCCAUCCAUCUCAUCUCACCUCACUCACACUACUACUGAUAUCAGCUAGGAGUACUCGAGUUCACUAGCUACCAGUUCGCUUCCUUCCUUCGGCACCAGACUCUCUCCCACGAAGAUGCCUACGGUGACCCGUGCCUACCUCGACCAGAGGCUCGCCGUCGCCAACCGCUGCUCCAAAGGUAACCAAAACCAAGCGGUUCUCCAGGCCACAUUGCAGCUUUACGUACUGUCUCUUGCUGAAACUUUGGUCGUCACUAACACAUGUCUGCGUUGAUCUGGAACUGCAGAGGCUGCCAUGGCUGGAGCCAAGGCCGCGGCCGUCGCCACCGUCGCUGCCGCAGUCCCCACUGUAAGUACACGUUUCUCAUCCGGCACGGCUGUCUUGCAAACAUACAACAAUCAUGCAUCUCAGUCUCACCGUCUUCUUCUUCCGAGCCUUUCUCUGCAGCUGGCGAGCGUGAGGAUGCUGCCGUGGGCGAGAGCGCACCUGAACCCCACCGGGCAGGCCCUCAUCAUCUCCACCGUCGCCGGGAUGGCCUACUUCAUCGUGGCCGACAAGACCAUCCUCUCCAUGGCCAGGAAGCACUCCUUCCAGAACGCGCCGGACCACCUCAAGAACACCUCCUUCCACUGAUUAGGCAGUAGAUCCUGUAGUAUAAUGUCUGCUGAAUCCACCAUGGGUAGUGCGCAAUAAACUUCACGCCGACCCGUACGGCCGUACGUGUCUGCUGAAUGAUACAGUAGUAUAAUGUUCAGCGAGAGAGGCGAGGCGAUGCAGAUCAGGCCUUGCGCUUCUAUCCGUGCAAGCACUUAUCGGAUGAUGAAGUUACCAUGUAACCCAGCCAGUAUUUUCUUGAAUUAAUGAAUACCAGUAUUUGUACAAUUCUGGUUCAUCUGCCAUCACUACUCAUCUUACAUGUGCCAGAGCAUGCAAAAAAGACUAAGCUAAGGGCAUCUCCAACGCCGGCCCCUAAAAGAAUAUAUUUGUACAAGUCUGGUUCAUCUGCCAUCACUCAUCUUACAUGUGCUAGAGCAUGAAAAAAGAGCCAACUAAUUAAUGGUAUCUCCAACGCCGGCCCCUAAAAGGGACACAAUAUCCGUUUACGAGCCGGCCAUCCAACGCUAAUCCAUUAAACGUCCAGACACAUUUCAAAUAGACUUUAAACAAACUAGAUAAGUUUAUACAAACCGAACGAUUUUCAUUCAAACUGGAUGAAAUUCAUUACAUUUUAGAUACAUUUCAACUAAACAAAAGCAAAUAACACUUUUUAACCCAGUCUAAAUAUUCGUCAGUCCUGGAGGCCUCCGUGUUCCACAUGAUGUCUUUACCAUGUCUGGCAAGUUCAAUGGCCGCAAACUAUUGUGAAGUGAAGUUGUCGGAGGGGAAGAAUAUGACAUGGGACACGAGACUUGCCCACAUCUGUGUCCCACCUCCUACUCUUCCCGGCCAGAGUUCAUCCUGUGGACGUUGCCGGACAUGGAUGGAUCGGCCUCGUGGCCGUUGCGGUUGGGCACUAACUGUGCUAGCGGCGCGAUCAACGCGGAACUGGCGAUGUCCGUGAUUUUUGUGCCUCCUCUUCGUCCGCCUCCACCUCGAUCUCUGUGAGCAGGGCGUUAGUCUCCUCCUGCUAGACGCACUGCUGCCAUCGCUCGCGAGGGAUGUCGUGAACUGCGGCCAACGACCAUGAGGCUUGUCCACCCGGCAUUUCCGACAUGGAGGUUGUCUCAUCUCCAACGACAAGUAAAACUAGGAUAGUUUGAUCUAUGUAUGAUAUAGUAGGUGGUUUAAUUUUACGUUCCAUCAUGGAGUAUCAAAAAAGUCGAGGGUGAGAUUUGAGGUUUGUGGUUGCAGCGAGAGAUAAAUGAAGGGUGAGCGGGCUCUGUCCGCAGAUACGUCCGGAUGCAUUUGCGAACAUAUGGGGUCACUUUUGAAAUAUGCAGCUGUAGAUGUUGUAACAUUACCAAGAUUUCAACGGAAUUGAAUCGGGAUGCCUUUUUGUGUGGAAAAAUAUGCAGCUGUAGUUUCCUACCUCUUCAUCAUUUUUUUGCAGGAAAGGCUGAAAUAAAUCCAGAAAAAUGCAAACACUAAUGUCAAAUCUAUAAUUUGAAUCUUGGUGGGCUGGGAUACCACCGUCCUCCAAAUAACCACAGGUUCGUUCGCUUCUGCCUCUUCAUCUUAACGAUGCACACAUCCAUACUUAUAUUUACUAUGAACAAUUGUGAGUAGGAGUAAUAAAAUUCAGUACACAUCAAUCAGUGGAGGGAGAAAAAAGCCACAAGCUGUGUAGGCAAACAUGCCUACACAAAAAGCAUAAUAUUGGAUCAUCUAUCCUACGUGAAAUGUUAUGUUAUUUUUAAACAGAGAUAAAAGAUAUGCCUCAUGUAUUAGGGAAGAAAAGAAAGAUGGGAGGGGCGUUUUGGCUACCGCUCCCAAUGAACUGUACUGCAAAAAAGUUGUAAAACAUAUUAGAAAAACAUUGAUUUUUUUGUUGAUGUUCGUGUUAGCGUCACAAGCAUGCUUGACAAUUUUCAUGCCAAACGGAGCAGUAGUGUUUCGUUAGAGAAAAAAAAUAUUUAUUGUGUUUUUUUUUUUUGCACAAGCCAAAAUGUUUGGCCUUUUGCCCAAAACUUUGCAGGUAACAUUGGGAUGUGACUAUAAAUACAUGAAAUAUAUUUGUUGGUAUUUUUUUUUGACAUUUCAAAAAAUAUUUUUCACACGCAGAAGCACGUGCUCCCGAGAGUCAAAUUGGAUUUCUAGAGAAUGACUCUAAAAAAAGUAAAAAGAGAAUAGAUCAUGUGUUACAAGCCCCAAAUUAGAAUAAGAUUACUCUCAAGCCCCAAAUCUGCGUGACUUUCUAUAUGACUUCACCCUUAUAGAUCGUAAAAGAUGUUAGUCAAAUAUUAAAACAGGCGAUCUAAUUAUUUCCCUAGAAAAAAAGUGCUCAACUUUAUCCAAGAGCAUAUACGUAUACGCCCUUGGGACCAAAAUAUAAGAUGUUUUUGCUGUUUAAAUGAACUACUAAAAACAUCUUCCCUUCAUGAAGGCGUUGCUGUUGAGAACCUCGUUGUCCUUGUGGUGUCAUGAGAUGAUUGGUGAUGAUAUGAUUACUAUUUUAGAUUGUCGCUCGCGGAUUUGAUCUUUUUGGAUUUUUUUUUCUUGCUUGGGCAUUGCCUUGGUCUUAUAUGACUUUGUAUUUGCCGGCCGUUUUUUUUUUGUGUGUGAAUGUUGGUGUUCACAGUGUGCAUCUUAACUAUGCAUAGGCCGGAUGUGUGCUCAUUUUUAUGGAAUUCACUUGAUGCUUUAUUUUGUAUAAUAAAAUCCACCCUUCACAAAAAAAAAGCACUAUGCUCGGGCCGACCCCGCCAAACAAAGGAUCUGUACCGAGGUGCUCUCGGAAUUGGAUCGCCGACGGGUUGCUGGGAGCGCCCAGACCACACACAUCGCCAACAAAACGGAGUGCUAUAACGCUGACUGACACUGCACUCACGCACAUGCUCCUACGUCUACGUGUUAACCUACGCGCCGCCCGCCGGCACCAGUACCAAAACCACGGUCUGGUCGUCUUCCUGCCCGGCCGCACGCCGGUUGCGCGGUUUCCUGCAACCUAUAAAUCCGGCCGGACCACCUUGCUCUGCCCAUCUCUUCUCACUCACAUCCACGCUCCACUGACACGCUAGCUACUUCGCUUCCUUUGGAUCUCCUGCCAGGCUGCCACAAAUCUCUCCCGCGAAGAUGUCGACGGUGACCCCUGCCUACCUCGACCAGAGGCUCGCCGCAGCCAAGCGCUGCUCCAGAGGUAACAGUUCCGGCCUCAGCCCAGCAUCUGCUCUGCUCGUAUACAGGGCCGGCCCUGAGGGAGGGCAGGAAGGGCGGCCGCCACGGGCCCCCACCUUACAGGGGCCCCCACGCCUAGUAUGCAUGCAUUCGGCCGGUAGCCCAUGGCCUAAUUUUUCGCUGCUGCGACAUGCGAUUGCCAGCCUGUAUGGGAAUCGCAUAGUAAAGGGCACAUGUUACGGGAGCCCGGGAGCAAUCUACGGUCGUUCUUUCAUCUUCUUUUGCUCGUUUCCUAAAAUUUUCCUUCGCGAUGCAACUACGCGACCACGAUCUAUCUGUACGCGACGAAAGCGGCAAUCGGCGGCGGCUAUGGUGCAGAGAUCGGAGAGUUUCGGCCAACGCAGAGAUUGUUACUCUGGUGCUCCGGCUUGGCGCCUCUUUGUGUGAUCUGAUCGCUUCUCUAAUGCUGCGCCUAGAGCUCUAGGGAAUUCCUUCUUGGAUCCAACCAGGGCAUCAAUCGAUCACCAGUUAACCACUUCUUGUCUUGCCGGACGGAACCUUUGUACGUACACGGGUAAUACCAUCAAUCACUAAUUAGUUAUCUAUAUAGGUCAAUUAUAUUAAAAUAUUUCAUUAUAAUUGGUUUGUGGAUCUUCUGUGUUUUUUGGAUUUCAGAACUAUGGAAAGGAUUUGUGGAUGAGUUGAUAAAAUCACAAAGAGGAGCUAUUGAUAAUUAUUUUGAGAAUGCCAUUGACGCUUGGACGAAUAUAGAGUUUGUGACAGUAGCUAUGGAUGGGCGAGCUAAUGGAAUACAGGGAGAAAAUGUGAAUGUAAGUGACCCUGAGAACACUCUUAACACAUUGGAUGCACGGCACAGUCCGCCAGUUAAUUUUAUGUUAACUUUGCAUCACAUGUUGCUGUGCAUCGAGGGAUGUAGAAUUAUAUUAAGGUAAUAUGUACAGGUUACGUGACAUAAAUAAUACUUUUAGAUGCAUUCAAGUGUUAACAGGUAACAGUCCAAUAUAUAACAGAAAUAGCCAAUGUGUCUUUGGUCCCAUUGCACCCGAACUGAAUUUUAUAUCUUAGAAGUAAUGAGAAGAGUAAAAAGAAAGUGAAACUUUUAUUUUAACAAAGAUGCCUUCGCGUAGUACUAUAUAAAUGCAUGAAAAGUUUCGCCAAGGAAUGACUACCAUGGUAUCCUGGACAAAAAGACAAAAUUGAUAGUACUCUAUAAAUGUUACCAUUCACAUUUUUUGGGCCUGCAAUUAUUUUCGCUGAGAAUACCAUGAGAGUCAUUUCUGCCCAAAACUUUUUGACUCCUUUAGUUUUCUAAUAAAUUUUUACAAUUCUGGUGCAUUUGCCCUAUGUUUGAAAUAUCCGCAUCCUAUAUAUAUAAUGAUCGCUAUUGUUAUGGUGUUUGUAUUAAGGGCCCCGAAUUUUAGUUUUGCUCCGGGCCCCCAAAAUCUUAGGACCGGCCCUGCUCGUAUAUCCCACCCAUUGCAGCCUAUGCGUCUGCUGAAACUUGACCUGGAUUAACAUUCCUGCGUUGAUCCGAAACUGCAGAGGCUGCCAUGGCCGGAGCCAGGGCCGCGGCCGCAGUACCCACCCUAAGUAGCCAGCUAGCCAUUCAGUUACAGAGUUCAUAGCACAUAUCUCAUGAAUGCGUUACCUGUCAUUUCAGCUGGCGAGCGUGAGGAUGCUGCCGUGGGCGAGGGCGCACCUCAACCCCACCGGGCAGGCCCUCAUCAUCUCCACCGUCGCCGGGAUGGCCUACUUCAUCGUCGCCGACAAGACCAUCCUCUCCAUGGCCAGGAAGCACUCCUUCGACGACGCGCCGGACCACCUCAAGAACACAUCCUUCCACUAAUUAUACUAUAAUAGUAGAUCCAUUAGUAGUGCGUAAUAAACCGUGUACGCCGGUCGCCGAAAAAUAGUACUAUAAUGUUCAGCGAGAGGGGCGAUCAGGCGAGGUGAUGGUAUAAUUAUCUGAUGAUGUACUUAUGUAAUAAUGUGGGCAUGUUCUCCAUCUUGUCAUCUUUCCAGGGAUCGUAAAUUAAUAACCAGCUCUUGUACAACUUUGCUUCAAGUACACUCACUCAUGACCCAUCUCACCUUUUUCUUGUUUGCGAUUACAGUUUGACACGCGUCAGAGCAUUGCAAAAGACCGAGAUAACACUAGACUACUAUCGUCUGUUCUGUCGCGAAACGCCACCUGACCUCACACUCUAAAUCUUUUGAGACAGUUUAUUGGAUGCCUUGGCAAAUAAGGAUGGAAAAUUUAGCAGUUUUGAAACUAGCUUUCUGUACUAGUGGAGCCCCCCUGUUUAGGUUGGAGGUGUUUCUCGAGACCGGAGACGCCUCGACAUUUUACAGGUGACUUGGUUCUAUUUGAUCACAACCGCUUGCGGAGGCUGUUUCUAAUGCCCGUUUACCCGUUUUCUAUUAGUAGAUGUUGGUUUCGUGCAUCAACUUGUGAUGAUUGCUUUGUUCACGGCCGCCUUCGGUGAAGUUGGAGUCACUGGAUCUAGUGCGAUAGGUGAUGAUGAUGACGCCUGUGUGCAGCCAUGCAUGGCGGAUGAAGUCUUCUCGGUUGUAUUUGGAGUCUACGUCGGUAGCCAGAUCGGCCGCUGCCAUAUGUAUUGUCAUGUUCCAUGAUGAUAGUUUUUAGGUGUGUUGUUACGGUUUUUGCCCAAUUUUCUGGACAAUUUUUUUCUUAAUUAUUGAAAAUGAUAGAUAUUUUGUCUUGUUUAUCUUUUUUUUGCAAAUCAACAAUUUUUUUUGCAAAUCAACUAACUAGUACUCCCUCCGUAAACUAAUAUAAGAGCGUUUAGAAUAUUAAUUUAGUUAUCUAUAAAUAUUCUUAUAUUGGUUUAUAGAGGGAGUACCAGGGAGUAUCAUGUACUCUGGGGAACUACGGCAACCAACCAAACAAAGGUUUUGCACCGCACUUCGGGUUCGCUGGGAGUGGCUCAGAAGAACGGAUCCCAGCCGGCCGUGGCAAGGCCUGCAUCUCAUAAUCGAUAAGGAAGCAAAGGCAGUGUUUGACAGCAUGGUGCUCAUUAGAGUUGGCGAGGGCUCAAAGAUUCUUUUCUGGACCGACAGGUGGAUACACGGAUUUUCCAUCAGGGACAUCGCUCCCCUGCUCGCGGCCAUGGUCGAUAAGCGUACCAAAAGCAGACGAACCGUCCAGCAGGCUCUCCUCCAUGGUGCUUGGAUGCUAGACAUCGAAGGCCAACUCUCAUUCAUUGCCCAUAUUCAACUCGUUCACCUUCAGCAGGCGAUCGCUUCGGUGGUUAGGAAUGAGGCGGAACCUGAUGAUUUCAUCUGGCCGUGUGAUGACACCGGAUCCUACUCGGCAAAGUCCACCUACAAGAGGCUCUGCUUUGGCCUAACACGCUCUGCCACCGCUACACAAAUAUGGAGAAGGUGGGGCCACUCAAAUGUAAAAUUUUCGCCUGGCUGACCUCGCAAUAUCGACUGUGGACCUCGGAUCGCAGAGCAAGACACGGACUGCAAGAGACCACUUCGCCUUGCUUCACGUGCGAUCAGGAAGAGGACAAUGUGGACCACAUUCUGGCCCAGUGCGUCUACGCGAGACAAGUUUGGCACGAAUGCUUCGAGGCCCUACAAGCAAACAUUCAGAUCCCAAGCCAAGACGAUUCAUUCAUGGCAUGGUGGGAGAGGGCGUGUGCCUCCUUUCAUGGGAAGAUCAAGAGAGGUUUCGACUCCUUUGUUAUCGCUUCCGCAUGGCACCUCUGGAAGCAAAGGAACGCUAGGGUGUUCCAUAGAGACGACCAAGUGAGACCAGCCACUAGUUUAGUGCAUACUAUCCUUGAUGAGAUAAAGCAAUGGAAUUGAAAUCGGCGGGAGUAGGAGUUGAGGGUCUGGAUAGGUUUGUAAGAGAGCAGGCUUUAGGUUUCUUUGUGUGGAGUUGGAGUCCAUUCUUGUAAUCAACUUUUCUGCCUUCUAGAAAAAUACGGUGCGCUUUUGGCGUACUCUAGGAAAAAAAAGGUUUUGCAGCCAACCACUGGCGGAGUUGGCCUGAUUGCCGACGCGGCGAACCGAGCUAGCUAGGCCGGAAACUGGGAGCGCCCGCCCAAACAAAAACGGGGUGCACGCUGACUGACACGGCACUCACGCCCAUGCUCCUACGCUGACAGACCUGCCAACCCUGAUGGAUCGAUCGAUGCCUCCUCUUAUCCUGUGCAGAGUGUAGUGGAGCGCCCGCCCAUCACGUGCUCCGCUUUCUAUAAGACGAACGCCAACGAGCCGCCGCCACCUGUGCUCUGCCGCAGCGCCGGCCAUCCCGCCCGCCCGCCGCUCGUCUCAAAACCGCGGUCUCGCUUCCCACCGUAUCGUCUCCCUCUCUGCUCGCUGGUUGCGCGGUUUCCUGCAACCUAUAAAUCCAGCCGGAGAGCCGCACCUGUCUAUCCAUCUCAUCUCACCUCACUCACACUACUACUACUACUACGGAUCUCAGCUAGCAGUACUCGAGUUCACUAGCUACUAGUUCACUUUCUUCAGCACCAAGUCAAGAUGCCUACCUCGACCAGAGGCUCGUCGCCGCCAAGCGCUGCUCCAAAGGUAACGAAAAUGAUAUCAUGCCGCGCCGGUCCUCAAGGGCACAUUGCAGCUUUCUGUACCGUCUCUUAUGAAACUUGAUCGUAACCAACAUGUCUCUGUUGAUCCGGAACUGCAGAGGCUGCCAUGGCGGGAGCCAAGGCCGCGGCCGUCGCCACCAUCGCAGCCGCCAUCCCCACUGUAAGUACGCGUUUCUCAGCCGGCGCAGCUAGUUGCAAGGGCCAACAAUCAUGCAUCUCACCGUCUUCUUCCUCCGUGGCUUUCUCUGCAGCUGGCGAGCGCGAGGAUGCUGCCGUGGGCGAGGGCGCACCUGAACCCGACCGGGCAGGCGCUCAUCAUCUCCACCGUCGCCGGGAUGGCCUACUUCAUCGUCGCCGACAAGACCAUCCUCUCCAUGGCCAGGAAGCACUCGUACGAGACGGCGCCAGAGCACCUCAAGAACACCUCCUUCCACUAAUUAGACACUUGAUUGGUUCAAAAAAACUAAUUAGACACUUGAUUAGCCAGUGCCCAAUAAACUGUGUACGCUGGCCCGUGGAAACGUGUGUUCUGAAACGUAUGAUGUUCAGCGACAGGGCCAGCAGGCGAGGCGACGAUGGUUGCAGUGCUGAAAGGUGGUGUACAGCCCUUCAAUUUGUGCGAGCAAGCACUAAUAAUGUGGCCAUGUUCUCCAUCUUACUACUAGUACCUUCCCGGAGAUCUUGAAUUAAUAAAAACUACUAGUUCUAAUUUUGUACAACUCUGGUUCAAGUGCACUCACUCAUCUUACCCUUUUUCUUGUUUGCGAUUAUCAUUUAACACGCGUCAGUGCAUUGCAAAAGACCGAUAACAGUGACCCCCCUACUCCUGCUCUGUUGUGUUCCGAAAUGCACGUGAGCAUCAUGCCACCUCACACGUUGAAUCUUCUGGUAUGGUUUAAUGGAUGGGUUGGCAAGUAAGGAUGUUUCUGAAAAAUGAAAAAAUUAGCUAUUUUGGGACAAGCUUUUGUACUAGUGGAGGACCCCCGUGUGUAGGUUUGAGGUGUUUGUCCGCAGAGACCGGGGCACCUCGACAUUUUUCUUGGUCGUGAGUCAAAUAAAAUGUAUUCAUACCGCAUCCGCGUGUAAGUGUGCAUUGUAAAUACUCUCUCUGGUCCUUUUUUAUUGUGCAUAUACGAUUGUUUUUUCCAAAGUCAAACUUCGUAAAGUUUGACCAACUUUAUAAAAAAAAAUCAAUAUUCACACUUCGAAAUCAAUAUCAUUAGGUGUGUUAUGAAUAUAAUUUUUAUAUUGUAUAACUUUAAUAUCGUAGAUGUUAAUAUUUUUCCAUAUAAAUUUGAUCAAAGUCGACGAGCUUACCAUUCGGCGAGUUGAUCUUGUGGACGACCCCCUUCUCUGGAUCCUCCACCUCCGUCAGCUCCGACAACUCUUCAUACAGGUCCAUGCGGUGGCAGACAGCAAAAAGCACGGGAAUUGAGCAGAGAGGGUGAGGAAAGCGCGGGUUUUGGCGUGAAAACGGUGCGAGCCUCUCCAAAUGCGCGGGCUCCGCCAUGAUUUUGGGUGGGCAAAUUGCAGGGGCGGACACAGAAAUGAUGUGGAGUGGGGGCAAAUAAUAGGAGCGGGGGCACUUAAUGUACAAAUGUGAAGAAUUUCAAAAACAAUCUUAUAGAAUACAAGGAACUUUUACUGAAAUUUCAAAAAUUGACUGGGGGCCUGGGCACCCACUCAGCACUAUGUAGGUCCGCCUCUGGCAAAUUGUGUUUGAGUCCUAUGGGGCACAUGUCUGAACUCCCGCAAAGCCCCUUGGUUUGCGUCCGAUUAGCAAGAAAACGAACACGUGGGUGCGUCUGAGGACAAAUAAGAGUCCAUGUUGAAUCUGAACGACUUGAUCCGCAUACUUGUGGUUUGUUUGAGGGUCUGGGUUGAAUGGAGUGUUGUAUGCAACAUCGGUAGGCCCAGACCAGAAAAAACGUAAGAAGUGCCGAAGCAGUUCACACAUCACACAGAGAAGGGCUAGUCCGGCCGGGGAGCAGAUGCCGCCGGUUUCGCCCGAAAACGGGGAGCGCCGCUCGCCGACCGACCGACGAUUUACGAGUGAAACUGGCGGCACCCGCUUUGUUUCGUUUUUUUAGGGCAUGGCCAAUGGGUGGCCUCAACCUGCUGCCCCGCAGGUCCAUGUAAGAUCGGAGUUAGGUUCGGACUAAAAGAUAUAGCCUCGCACUAGCAGGUGUAGCCUGCAGAAGAGCCAGCUUCUUCAGCGUGAAAAGCGAGAGAAAGAAAGAAAAAGGCAGCUCUGCUGAUGCAUGCAAGGAGAGAGAUAGAGAGAGGAAGAAAAAUACUAGGCAUGUGAAGGACGAUGGGUCCCGCUACAGCAGUGUGGCUCCGGUUGGCCAGGAUUUUUUCAAAACGGUGGUUUCCUUAUUUUUUUGAUUAGUUUAAGAGGUGAGGCACUAUCAGGGUGAUGCCCCCGUUGUACAUGCCCUUAUAUGAUGAUCGGAUCAGCACUGUUGUGCCUAACUUUAGAUUGAUCGAGAUCUCCCUUUUCUUGCUGGCUUUAGUUUGGUGGGUAAAGAAAGAAAGAAAGAAAGACGAGGGAGAACACCCUCCAACGGACAAACAUCAUCCAAUCCUGUGGAUUCCCAUACCACAGUUUUGGAUAACCGGCCCCUGCAACCUGCAUGCCGCUCCCGGAAAGCGUGCUCUGCCCACCAACGCAGUUCAUCACUCCAAGUCCAAACGAGUGAGCAGAGCAGAGCACCCACGGUUUGGAUCCCAAAACCGUGCGUGGCCGCCACCUUUUUGCCCGCUAUAAAUACUUGGCUCAACUCCUCGUCCCGGAAGCGUCAAGCAACAGCCAGCCCAUCUCAUCUCAUCUCGCUCGAUCAUCGCACUCUUCGUGCUGAGCCGUUUAUGCACAAGACCACGGCGAAGAUGUCGUCGACGGCCACCGUCACCCGCGCCCACCUCGAUAACAAGCUCGCCCUCGCCAAACGCUGCUCCAGAGGUACCUAGUAACCAGCAGGAUCCAAUUCUUCAGAGGUCAGUUCAGUUCAGCCAGGUCGUGUACUGAUAGUCUGACACUACAAAUGCAUUUCUUUUCCUAAUGUUUCCCAGAAGCGACGCUCGCCGGAGCCAAGGCGGCGGCCGUCGCCACCGUCGCGUCUGCGGUGCCCACGGUGAGCUCCUCCGUCCAACAGGAGUUGCUGAUUUUCAUGUAUAAGGAAAGCAAGAGUUUUUCUUUUGUCCGGUUUUCAUAACUGAACUGUGUAUCGUGCAGCUGGCGAGCGUGAGGAUGCUGCCAUGGGCCAAGGCGAACCUGAACCCCACCGGCCAGGCGCUCAUCGUCUGCACCGUCGCCGGGAUGGCCUACUUCGUCGCCGCUGACAAGGCCAUCCUCUCGCUGGCGAGGAGGCACUCGUACGAGAGCGCCCCCGACCACCUCAAGGACACUUCCUUCCACGGUGGCGCCGCCGCCGCAGCUCGUCCCCGUCCGCCGGCAUUCUUCAGGCCUUGAGCUAGUAUUAUCCUGCUUCUGCCGUUGGCCGUUGCGCGUAUUCUAGAAAAAAUGUAUGCGUCGUUGUCAGUGUCCCAAGAAACCGCUGCCGCAUGAAUAUCUGACGCCGAAAUGUAUGUACAUCCGUGUACUGAAUAAAACAGAGGGCUCGAUCCUGGUUUCAUAUAAGCUGUGUACGACAGACUUCAGAAGUUCAUUGCAGCUUAUGUGACUGCUGAAACUUGAUCUUGAUUAACAUUCCUACGUCGAUCCCAAACUGCAGAGGCCGCCAUGGCGGGAGCCAAGGCCGCGGCCGUCGCCACCGUCGCUGCCGCAGUCCCCAUUGUAAGUAGCCAUUCAGUUCUUCGACGAAAUCCUUGCUCGGUUCAUAGCACAUAACCCCAGCGGGCAGGCGCUCAUCAUCUCCACGGUCGCCGGGAUGGCCUACUUCGUCGUCGCCGACAAGACCAUCCUCUCCAUGGCCAGGAAGCACUCCUUCCAGGACGUGAGAGCACCUCAAGAACACCUCCUUCCACUAAGUAGCCUAUAAUAGAUCCAUUAGUAGUAGGUAAUAAACCGUGUACGCCGGUCGCCGGCCGGUCUGUAGCCCUGCAUAAUGUUCAGCGAACCACGAUCAGGUGUACUGCGCUUCCUUCUCUGCGAGCAAGCACUAAUUAUCUGAUGAUGUAUGGAAUAAUGUGGUCAUGCUUUCCAUCUUAGUAUCUUUCCAGACAUCUUUAAUUAAUACUCCCUCUGUCCCAAAAUAUAAGAACGUUUCUUAUAUUAUGGGACGGAGGGAGUAACAACUAGAAGUACUGUUUGUACUACAACUCUGGUGCAAGUGCACUCACUCAUCUCACCUUUUUUUUACCAUUUGACAUGCGUCAGAGCAUUGCAAAAGACCGAGAGAACACUAGACUAAUAGUUCAUUCUUUUGAACUCGUACUACUCUCCUCUGUUCUGUCACGAAAUGCCACCUGACCUCACACUUUAAAUCUUUUGAUACAGUUUAUUAUUGGAUGCCUUGGCAAAUAAGGAUGGAAAUUUUAGCAGUUUGGAAACAAGCUUUCUGUACUAGUGGAGCCCCCCCUGGUUAGUUUUUGAGGUGUUUCUCGAGACCGGAGACACCUGGAUAUAUUUCAUGGUCGCGAGUUAAUAUACAUUCUUAUCGCAUCCGGGUGUAAGUGUGCAUGUGAGAUAUUCCAAAAAAUGAAAACAUGUGUACAGUAUAGAAAAGUUCAUAGAGGUGGGCUUGAUUUAAGGUUGUAAAACUAUGUGCUCGUUUGAAUUUGUUAUACAUAAGGGCAUAAGGGCAUCUCCCGCGCUUUUCUUUCAAUGCACACGCCGCUUCCCGCACCGCAUCAAGGCCGGCCCGGAGCACGCGGCAGCCGACAUUGAUGUCAUGUGAUGUGAUAGGACGGAAGGGCGGCGUUGACCGACGCGACCUCUCGGGAGUCGCCGCUUCAAUGCGGACGCAUCUUCCUGACGAACCAAUUUCAGCCGCUGCACCACAUUGAAGCAGCUGACCGUCUGUUUGCAUGGCCUAGCCGUGGCUUGAUAAGCUGUGCUCCGGCGCUGUCCACAUCGCACUCACCGCAUCGCUCCGCACAUCCUCCUCCUUCCCUCCCUUCUUCCUCCACAACUCCGGCGAUGGGCAAGUCGUGGGCCUCAGUGCCGGCAGGCGGGCCGCUUCGGAGGAUCUUGGCGAUGCCGCCCACAAACCCCGGGGUUGUCGUCCUCAUCGGCGGGCAGCUUCUCGCAGAAGGCGGAGAUCAUCAUCUCCUCCGGCGACGAGGAGGACCAGUCGGCGCCGGUGUUCACCGUCAUGGAAGAGGAGUACGAUCAACAGAUGAAGGUAAUGCUCUGUCGCUCCGUCCUCCAUGUCAACGGCCCGGUGGCUCCACCGGAGACGCUCCUCCGCGUGAAGCCUGAGCCCACCUACCCCCUGCGCUCUCCCUCAUGCAACUGCGGCGUCCAGACCGGACGUCGCGUCAAGGACAAGCCCCUCUCACCGCCCCAACGCGUCAAGCAUGAGCGACUCUCUCCGCUGCCCCGCCACGUGAAGGAGGAGCAGCACUCUCCGCCGCCCCAUUGUGUCAAGGAGGAGCACCGAUCACCACCGCCCUUAUCCCGUGCGAUCACCCUGAAGGUGCGCAGUCGCAUUCGCCACUAUCUCGGUGGUGGCAACCGUUCGUCGUCCUGGAGCAUCCUAACGGCGCAGGAUUACGCCGGCAGGGAGCGACGCCGGCGGGAUAGGCACAACGCGGCGCACCGGUCUGAGUUCAUGGACUCCAAUGUUCUGCCGCCACACAACGCGGCGGACCCGGACCUGGCAUACAACUAGGUCCUGGAUCACUCCAUGACGAUGGCGAGCAAGCGCCAUCUUCGUCACCUCGACCAGGAGAUGGCCAAGUACAACGAAAAGUGGUCUCUUAGUGAGAUCGAUGUCGCCAACGCUGCCUCCUCCAAGGCCCUGUCCACAUCAUCGGUGGCCGCGGCCGCAUUGUGCACAACGGAGGAGGAAGCGGGGAGAAUCAUCCGCGAGCGUUAGGCGGCUGCCGGGAAGCCCUGCCGCGACGCCGCACCCUUCCGCCUCCCGAAGCCCGACGACGACGAUGACGGCAACGGCUCCGGUGAUGAUGCCAGAGGAGCCGCUGGCCAGCCCGGCACGGUCUAUGAGGUCACUGUGAAGUACAGGGUAGUGUAGGAUUAGGUUUUUUAUGGUUUUUAGUUCACCGUACAAAAUAUUGUCCGGUUUUAUGAAAAACUUAUCUAAGUUUAAAUGAAUAUUGUCCGGUUUGUUUGAGUUUGCAUCAAUUUGGUCAUUUUCAUUAAAAUUCAUUUGAAGUUUAAAUGGACAUAUGCGCCUAGCUUUGGAUGGUCGCCUCCUGUAUCCGUGUCCGUGAACUGGACACCCUGUUGGUAGACGGAUUCCAGAGCAAAUUUGCGGGACCACGUUGGAGAUACCCUAAGAGUAUCUAAAACCGGAGCUCCCAUAUUGUUCUAAACUUCUCAAAUUGCUUAAUCAAAUCCCACCUAGUUACUAUGGUAGCGUCUACAUGCAAUUGACAAUAAAACCGGUCACUAAUUGUCCAGCUACCAUCUGGCAGGCGUUCGGUGAGACAGGGGGACGAGCAGGGGCCUGGCCCCCUAUCCAUCGACAAUUCCUUUGGCUGCUACGAGUAAUUAGCGCUGGAUCAAGGGAAUACAUGUUGUUUCCCCCUUAACUCGAGAGCAACCAGUUAACGAGCGCUCCUUCGGGAGCCUCGUAACGAUCAGCGCCACUUGGCGCGCUCUCAGCCAUUCGCCACGUGUCGCGCUCUGGGCGCUCCCUUCGGAUUUUUUUUUUCGCACGCGUUUUCGGCUUUUUUUCGGCUUUUUUCGAUGUUUUGGUUUUCCAGCGGUCUUCCUUAGCUUUUCAAUCAAAAAAAUUUGGAAAAAAAUUUGCGUGAAAAUACGCGUUUUCUUUUUCUUUUUCCUUUCGCGAGAGGCACGGUUUUGCUUCCGCGAGAGGCACGGUUUUGCUUUCGCGAGAGUCACGGCCGUGCCUCUCGGAAAGGGAAAAAAAUGUGUUUCCGUUUUUCUUUCGUUCGCGAGAGUCACGGUUUUGCUUCCGCGAGAGGCACGGAUGUGUUUUCGCGAGAGUCAUGGCCGUGCUUCUCGGAAAGAAAAAAAACGCGUUUUCUGUUUUUUUUCUUUCGCGAGAGUCACGUUUUUGCUUCGCGAGAGGCACGGUUGUGCUUUCGCGAGAGUCAUGGCCAUGCCUCUCGAAAAGGGAAAAAACGCGUUUUCUUUUUUUUUUCCUUUCAUGAGAGUCACGGUUUUGCUUCCGCAAAAGGCACGGUUGUGCUUUCACGAGAGUCACGGCCGUGCCUCCUCGGAAACGGAAAAAAUAUGCGUUUUCUCUUUUUUCCUUCCGCGAAAGUCACGGUUUUGCUUCCGCGAGAGGCACAGUUGUGAUUUCUUGAGAGGCACGGGUGCGCCUCUUUCGAAAAGGGAAAAAACCCGUGCUCCCGGUUCGGUUUUUCCGUCCUGUUUUUUUUCGUCCAGUUAAGUUCGUCAAAACCUAUCAAUAUGGGAUCUAGUUUUGAAGAUCUCGACGCGAGGAAUCCAAUGGUGAAAGCGGUUUGAGAUUUGGACGCACGGUUUGAGAGAUAAAUUAGGACUUCAUUUGAAAAUAGUUUUUCGAUGAAGUGCUUAGGCUAAAUAGCCUCAAUAUUAGGCAUGAUGAUCUAUGGAGAUAGAUUUACCUAAUGGGGCUAAGCAAUGAAUACAUAUUGACAAGAUGCUAAAACCUUUUAGCAUUUAAAACGCCAAGGAGUGAUUCUUGCCAAAGUCACAUGGAAAGAGUUUUUGCAAGACUCGGUGUCCCAAAACACUGAUGAGUAAAAUACAUGAUGCAGAUUCCACACACUUUUGUGUUUGGAUUAAUCAUGUAUUCCAUGGUAUGUAAAACAACCAGAUAUGUCCGAUACUCCCAAGGUGUUGCGAGUAUGGAUACCAAAGUGAUCAAAUUACUGAUCAUGGGACAACAGUGAAAGAUGUCACAGAGUACUAGAGUAAGUACUGAUGACAUGGUUUUCUCGCAAGCAGAGAUCAUGAAGAGUUCGUUGUAAAAUGUUACAUCGAUAGAGUCUUCAUCUUUUCUCCAUGCGAUUUUCGAUUUAAAUUAAGGGUUUUGUGUAACACACAAUGUGGUGGCAUAGUUAGUUGGAAUUUGUUCAAACUAGUUACUGUGGCGAAUUCUAUAACAAGGGCUAAGUAUGUUGACGCUUUAGAAGCGACAAAGAAGAUGUUGAAUCAUAUAGUUCAUUCAUGAACUUAGUAUAGUUCCAAGAUGGCUUUUGACAAUGGGACACUACUGCAGGUAGUUGCUCCAUAACUCAGUCUGAGGAAUCCAGGUUCGACCUGUGAUUCACAUACAUACAAAGCCAAGUCCACACAAAAUAUGAAUUUUGUGAAAACGAGAGGACAUGCAAAGAUACACACGGAACUGAAGUCGUUAGAUCCGUUGGACAUCAGGCUAUACCACAAGCGAAGCAUAUUUACACCGGUGUGCCACAGGUGUGAAGUGCAUUAGCAUAAGCUGGAUUAUUGACUCUAGUGCAAGUGGGAGUCUGUAGGAGAUAUGCCCUAGAGGCAAUAAUAAAUGAUAUUAUUUAUCUCCGAGUUCAUAAUUAUGUUUAUGUUCCAUGCUAUAACUGCAAUGAUUCUCGAGUCUGCAAUAUCCACGAGGCUCGGAGGAAGACUCAUAUGCACGUGUGGAAUAAUAAACGGUAAGAAGUAUUCCUAGUCUGGCCUCUAAGACUAGCUCAAGUGUUGCAUGAUGAUUCUGUUUUCCUGGUCAUGGGCAUGUCUAUGCCAGCAACUUUGAGGGCACAAUGUUAAGAGAACAUUUGUGUUGAAUCGACCCGGAUUGAUGUUAUGCUAUGAGAUUCAUUCGUCACAAGUUUAUUGGUACAUAACACAGAGAUGGUUAACGUUUGCAUGAUUCCUUAGACCAUGAGAGUAUCGAGUUUCUUCAUGCUUGCUUCAUGAACUUUGGGGUUUGUUAAACGUCAUCCGUAAAUGGGUGGCUAUUACGGCGGCUUACGGGUUCAUGGAAAAGUGUGUCAAGUAACUUGAUAGCUCAAGAUUGGGAUUUGCUCCUCCGACGAUGGAGAGAUAUCUCUGGGCCCUCUCGGUGUUACGGUAUCCAUCAUCGUCUGGCCAGACACUUUGUGAUUUGAUCAUGGGGAUGCCGGAACACGAUAACGAGAAAAGAGAACAAUACCAGUAACGAGGUAACUAGCAUAGUGGACAAGUUGUUGAUCCACGGGAAUGCCAACAUGUCUCACCUCGGGUAUUUGUAACAUAUCGCGAAGCAACAGGAAUAGCACACGACAACUGGAGGUUCACUCGAAUAUUUAUUCGUGUGGGUAUAGGGGUCAAUAUGGGUGUCCACGGCUUCGAUGUUGAUCAUUGAUCGGAAGGGGUUCCGAGUCAUGUCUAUACUUCACCGAACCUAUAGGGUCACACGCUUAAGGGUCAUCUAUCUGCUGAAUACUAGACAGGGAGUCUGAGAGAAAAUCACCGAAAAAGUUUCGGACACCGAAAAGUUUCGGACAGCGGAAUCGUACCGCAGAGAGAGGUCAUCGGAUAAGUUUCGAUGAUACCGAAAAGUUGUUUCGGGAUACACCAUUAAGUCAAAUUGGUUUCGGCACAUGCCUGAUAAUUCUUGGAGGAUGCCAGAAUCAUUCUGGAAGCUUUUUGGAAUUUUCUGAGAUAAAAACCGGAAAUGUUCCGGAGCUGCCGGAGCCACUUCAGAUGCGUUUCGCAGAUGAAAAUCACUAAAACCGGAAUUGUUUCGGAACACGUUGAAAAUCAUUUUAGUGGGUACUGGAAAUGUUCUUAGCCCACAUAAAUAUUUUCAGUUCGAUCAGACGCUGAAAAAUGUCGUCGUGAAUAGUGAAAAUCAGCUUUAUGGUUACUUUAUGGAAAGCCACCUUUUGGGGCUUUGCUCCAAAAGAUCUUGGGGAUGACAUGGGUGGAUAGGAGCCAUUUUUUGGGCCCCUCAUGGGGGUGUGGCCGGCCACAUGGGGUAUCCCCCCUUGGGGACCCUCUUGUUCCUUGGUUUCACUCCUAGGUCCUUGUGGAAGGACUUCAUUCAUGUGCAUUUUGGGUUUUUUGUGAAACUACCCUACCCCCUUGGGAUUUCCUAUAAAUAGAGGUGGAGGGGCAGCCCUCCACACUCAUCCCUUGCUCUCAUACACAUGCCAUGCAUUAUCUGGCUUCUUCUCUCCCUCCCACGAAAAGAGUUUCGUAGAGCCGUAAGGCUGUCUGGGUUCCGGCAGGAACUAGUUCUGGACGGCGAAGCCCUGCCGGAUAGAUGACACCGUAUGUGUGCAACUCUGUAGAGAGAUCGUAGUUUCGGUCUUAGUUCGUGAGUGCCUCCCGAAGGGCUGUACGUGUGACCGUCCGAGUUUCGAAGGUCCUCCCGAAGGNNNNNNNNNNAUGAGGGUAUACAUCCUCGCGGUUGGGAGGUUGUAAAUCCUAGCUGCGGGGAUCUGCACCGCCGAUCGUCAUCGACUCUACUUCCCGCUGCGCUACGAGUCGGUAACAAAAAAGAUCAAACCAUGUAUGCAGUCUCCAUAGUGGUCCUGGGCUGGUGCGUUGGUCGGAAAUUUUUUGUUUUCUGCUGCGUUACCCUACAGUGGCAUCAAGAGCCGUGCUAUGCGUAGAUGCAGGUUUCGAUCUAGAAUACAUGGAGAUGUAUGGGUAUUGCAUAAUAUAAUUAGGUAGUAGAUGAGAUCUAUUGCUGAAAAUUAUUUAUGUGGGUGACAGAUGAAAUCUGUUACCCGAGGUUCUUGUUGCUUCCCUAGAAUUUGCGUUUGCUCAAUCUCGAGACAGCAUGGUGGAAUUUGACAAAGUUCUGGCAAUCCGUGAUCCUGAUUGAUCAUGGAAGUGCUAUCAGUUCUUUGGGUUCUGCCGUAGUCAAAAGAAAGAUGAAAUUCGCAGAUGAAAGGGCAUUGCAGAUAUGAUCUGCACGGGGGUCAUGCGUAUGACGAAGUUUAGUAUGGGGCUCGAGAUUUGAUUAUCCCGUGUUUCAUAUACCCCGAGAUGUUAAUCUAGCAACCUGAAUAAUCAUACUUGAUGAUAAAAUGUUGGUAGCUGCGGUUUAAGUCAAAACCUUAGAAGCCACGUAAAAUAAAUUUUGCAUAAACCGAUUAGAGGCGUCUAAUUUGGUUUUGCAGGAUGUGCAUGUGAUGUGGUAUAGCAGUGCUCAUACUAAUUCGAUUAUGUAUGAGAUGACUAUAUGAUGUAAUUUGAUUAACAUGACCUGCGUGUCAUGAUUGGGCAUGAUGGCUGGAGCCAUAUGAUUGCACUUUAAUGACCUGCGUGUCAACCUUGUUGUAAUGCCUUAUUUUAUUAGCUAUAGAGAUAGCAAUAUUAUCUGGUGCAUCAACAGGGUGGUGGCAAUCUUCGUGAAGGUGAACACCGACGCGAAUGCCGAAGACGAAGAAAUGAAAUACUUCUCCGUCAGGAAGGGCUAUACCAUAUCAUGCUAUUAUGAAUUUCCUGAGAUGUUUAUCCCUUAUGAUACACCCUUCUUGAUUGCGCGGUAGUCGCUUUUUAUUAGGGUGAUCUCUCACUUAAAAUAUCAAAGUAGUUAGUGUUCACCCAAGUGUAGCACCGUCUGAAAUUCGUAUCUUUUCGGGGUGCGCCAUGUACACAUGGGCACGAACGAAUCGAGAGGAAUGAGGCGGGUGAGGUCAGACCUCGCAGCAGGAUCACUUGGUUGUCUUUGACGUUCAGGCAGGAGAGUCCUGAGCUCGGAACACGCCCAUCGAAAGAUGAACAAGAAUCACAUAGAGAUGUGAUCGGCAAGUUGGCCUACCAAUUGAAAUUCGUGUCAUCAGUGAUGAACCCGUCAAUGGCAUCGAAUAGAAAUAUGGAUCUUGAAUCACUCUAAAUCAAUUAUGAGAGAUAUUGAUUUGAGUGGGAGCGCACUAUUGAAUUAACAUGUUUAAUUCUCAGUGCAAUUAAUUAUGAACAAUGUCUAAGUGUUUCUUGCAAAAUAGUUGUAGAAUAAUGGCUCGCGUUUUCACCUUCCCUGCUAAAAUUGAAUAGCUGUUAAAUAUCUGGUUAAAACUUUACGUUUGGUAACGUAAUGUGAGGAUUGUCCUCAAAAGUGCCGAGAAGGACUUUGUCCUAUCGCAUGCUUUCCGUAUCCUCCCGCUAAUGCUAUGGAUCAUGUGACUCUCGUCCUUCGAUCCAAAAGCUAGAAUUAUGUUACGGUCAAGUGGAAUAUGUUUGCUUCCAUGAGACCCAAACUUCGAAAGUUGGGAUAGUUAUAUGAUAUUCAUGGAACUGAAAAUUAUUUUCAGAUACAAACAAAGCAAUGUUUGUUUGCAAGUAUUAGUAAAAGUGUUUACUAUGCAUUUGACUGUUGGGAAAGGGAUCCAGAAAAAUGCCUGUCAUAUAAUGAAAGGUGAAUAAAACAACAACUUAAAGAGAAAGGAAGUGUCCAAAGGGUGUUAGUAUGACUUACACGCCUAGGAAGUCCGGGGCUAAUGCCACUCUUAAGUUGGGUGCUUCUUCUGAGAGUAGGAGAAAUACUAAAAGUUAAACUGCUAGAAGUAUAAAGGCAAAAGGAAAGAAGACUGGAAUAUCCAGCUCAUGUAUGAAUGUCAUACUAGUUUUUGAUGUAUAGAAGGCUGGUCAAAGAUAUAGUUCUUGCGAAUUAUGGUUAAACAUGUUAAUCACUAAUUCUUGGGUAUUGUGAGUUCAUCACAAAAAUGCCCGCUCGAUUGCAUUCUGUUGCAACUCGAUGUAAGAACUACUAUGGCCUGAAAGACUAGCUAGAAAUGAGGUUAAGGUAUACACAGGGAACAUAGUAAAUGUUACUAUACCUUCCAUCGGUGUAUUGCCGUCUGUAUUUAUUUUCAUAAUUCAUUUAGAGUUUUACAAACUCUAUCCCAUUGCAUAAGGCAUCUUGCAAGAAGGUUGUUCAUAAGAGAAAUUUUUAUGUUCGAUGUUAUGAAUAACACAAGGGCCAUACUUUCAUUAUGAAUGAGAUGUAUGUUAUGAAUAUUGAUAAUAAUACAAUACCUCUGGGUUUACUUUCAUAAUUCAUUUUAGAGUUUCAUACACUCUAGCCCAUUGCACAAUGUUUGUUGCAAAAGAGUUGUUCAUAAAAACAACAAUUGUUGUUAAGUAUUAUGAAUAACAUAAGGGCCAUACUUCCAUCAUCGAUGGGACGUAUGUUAUGAAUAUUGAGGGUAAUAUGAUACAUCCAUAACACUGACGCUAAAUGUCGCAAGACUAAAAGAAUACCACACAAGUGUGGCACUACAUUUGGUCACAUUGGAGAAACCCGCAUGGAAAAUUCCAUUAUGAUGGAUUUUGAAGUCUUUUUGAUUUUGAAUCAUCUGACACUUGCAACUUUCCUCCGAAAAGUGAAGUGACUAAAAUACCGUUCACAGGCCAUAAGGAACGAACAACAAACUUAUUAGUGAUCAUACAUUUGAUGUGUAUAGUCCGAUAAGUGUUGUUAGUGGUGGAUUUAUUUAUCUUCAGAAAUGACUCAAGUAGAUAUAUGGAUAUUUACUUGAUGAGACGGAAGUCUGGAUCUUUUGAAAUCAUUCGAAAGGUUCUCAAAAAUGAAGUAGAAGUUAUUGUAACAAGAAAAUUAUGUUUCUGCAAUUUGAUUGCACAAAGGAAUAUUUGACUUACAUGUUUAGCGAAUGUCUGAUGAGUUGUGAAAGGGGUUUCAUAAACUUGCACCUCCCGGAACACCACUGCAAGUGGAAAGUCCGUGGAGAUGUAAUCAAACCAUUUAUGACAUGGUAAGGUCAAAGAUGACAUAAAUAAAUUUUCCAUUAUCCCUUUUAAAGUGAUGCUUUAGAGACUGCGGCUUUUACACUGAAAAGAGCUACAUCGGGUCUGUUGAAAUGAAGCCAUGGUAUGGUACGCCCAACCAUGUUAUAUCUUUUCUUAACAUUUGGAAUAUGGGGCUUGUGUAAAAGGUUACAAACCUAUUCCAAAUCAGACAAGUGCUACUUUGUAGGUUAUACCAAAAUGUUGGGUAUUCCUCCCUCACUAUACCGAGGCAAAUAGUUUUGCCGCGAAACGGUGUGCUUUUAAAGAGAAUGGUUCUUUCUAAAAGGUGAGUGGGAGAAUAGUGCAACUCGACGAGAUAAACAGUAUCUUCAUCAGAUCAAAGGAAAGAGACCUUGGAAGAAAUUCCAGAGUUUCCUACUCCGACUGAUACAGAAGUCUCUACAAUAAAAUGUAUGAACUUCGGUCGAACUUGCAGCUGAACCACGUAGGCAAGGCUCGUGCAAACCUCUCAGGUGCGCAAACGAGAUAUUGUUGUUAGACAACAUUAUACCUACGAUACACAAGGAAGCGUUGAUGGGCCCUGACUCCGGAAUUGGCUAAAUGCCAAUACAACCCGACUUAGUUUCCAUAUAAGUGAUUCAAGAUUAAAACCUUGAUACACCUUUCGGAAGACUUAGAGUCUAACGAAUAUUUAUGGAACUUAAAACUGAUACGGAUAAAAUGUUUUAUCCAUAAAGCUCGACUUGUUGAAAUAAUACGAUGAGGUUGUUUUCAUCGUACCGAUGCUUAAAGUCGGUUCGGGUUGAACUAGCAAUUAAUACAUAUUUCAAUCAUGAGAUAUGAAACAUGGAUGAUAAAAGGAUUUCCAUCUGAUGGAAAUGAAAGCUAGGACUUGUAUAUGAUACAGUCCAAAGUAAUUUGUCGAUCCAGAGGAUGCUAGUAGGUAUGCAAACUUCAGAGUUCCAGCAAUGGACAGAAGAGAGCAAAAUGGAGUUGGAAUCUUCGUGUUUUGAUGAAAUGGUCAAAGGGGUUUUGACUUCAUCAAUGGGUAACGAAGAUGCUUGUAAUUCAAGAAAGUAAGUGGGAGCGUAAUAAUAUUUCUAAAAACCUUAUGUGCUUGGCACAUUGGUAAUUGGAAAUAAAUUUCUUGACACAAAUUAGGACUUCAUUUGAAAAUAGUUUUUCGAUGAAGUGCUUAGGCUAAAUAGCCUCAAUAUUAGGCAUGAUGAUCUAUGGAGAUAGAUUUACCUAAUGGGGCUAAGCAAUGAAUACAUAUUUACAAGAUGCUAAAACCUUUUAGCAUUUAAAACGCCAAGGAGUGAUUCUUGCCAAAGUCACAUGGAAAGAGUUUUUGCAAGACUCGGUGUCCCAAAACACUGAUGAGUAAAAUACAUGAUGCAGAUUCCACACACUUUUGUGUUUGGAUUAAUCAUGUAUUCCAUGGUAUGUAAAACAACCAGAUAUGUCCGAUACUCCCAAGGUGUUGCGAGUAUGGAUACCAAAGUGAUCAAAUUACUGAUCAUGGGACAACAGUGAAAGAUGUCACAGAGUACUAGAGUAAGUACUGAUGACAUGGUUUUCUCGCAAGCAGAGAUCAUGAAGAGUUCGUUGUAAAAUGUUACAUCGAUAGAGUCUUCAUCUUUUCUCCAUGCGAUUUUCGAUUUAAAUUAAGGGUUUUGUGUAACACACAAUGUGGUGGCAUAGUUAGUUGGAAUUUGUUCAAACUAGUUACUGUGGCGAAUUCUAUAACAAGGGCUAAGUAUGUUGACGCUUUAGAAGCGACAAAGAAGAUGUUGAAUCAUAUAGUUCAUUCAUGAACUUAGUAUAGUUCCAAGAUGGCUUUUGACAAUGGGACACUACUACAGGUAGUUGCUCCAUAACUCAGUCUGAGGAAUCCAGGUUCGACCUGUGAUUCACAUACAUACAAAGCCAAGUCCACACAAAAUAUGAAUUUUGUGAAAACGAGAGGACAUGCAAAGAUACACACGGAACUGAAGUCGUUAGAUCCGUUGGACAUCAGGCUAUACCACAAGCGAAGCAUAUUUACACCGGUGUGCCACAGGUGUGAAGUGCAUUAGCAUAAGCUGGAUUAUUGACUCUAGUGCAAGUGGGAGUCUGUAGGAGAUAUGCCCUAGAGGCAAUAAUAAAUGAUAUUAUUUAUCUCCGAGUUCAUAAUUAUGUUUAUGUUCCAUGCUAUAACUGCAAUGAUUCUCGAGUCUGCAAUAUCCACGAGGCUCGGAGGAAGACUCAUAUGCACGUGUGGAAUAAUAAACGGUAAGAAGUAUUCCUAGUCUGGCCUCUAAGACUAGCUCAAGUGUUGCAUGAUGAUUCUGUUUUCCUGGUCAUGGGCAUGUCUAUGCCAGCAACUUUGAGGGCACAAUGUUAAGAGAACAUUUGUGUUGAAUCGACCCGGAUUGAUGUUAUGCUAUGAGAUUCAUUCGUCACAAGUUUAUUGGUACAUAACACAGAGAUGGUUAACGUUUGCAUGAUUCCUUAGACCAUGAGAGUAUCGAGUUUCUUCAUGCUUGCUUCAUGAACUUUGGGGUUUGUUAAACGUCAUCCGUAAAUGGGUGGCUAUUACGGCGGCUUACGGGUUCAUGGAAAAGUGUGUCAAGUAACUUGAUAGCUCAAGAUUGGGAUUUGCUCCUCCGACGAUGGAGAGAUAUCUCUGGGCCCUCUCGGUGUUACGGUAUCCAUCAUCGUCUGGCCAGACACUUUGUGAUUUGAUCAUGGGGAUGCCGGAACACGAUAGCGAGAAAAGAGAACAAUACCAGUAACGAGGUAACUAGCAUAGUGGACAAGUUGUUGAUCCACGGGAAUGCCAACAUGUCUCACCUCGGGUAUUUGUAACAUAUCGCGAAGCAACAGGAAUAGCACACGACAACUGGAGGUUCACUCGAAUAUUUAUUCGUGUGGGUAUAGGGGUCAAUAUGGGUGUCCACGGCUUCGAUGUUGAUCAUUGAUCGGAAGGGGUUCCGAGUCAUGUCUAUACUUCACCGAACCUAUAGGGUCACACGCUUAAGGGUCAUCUAUCUGCUGAAUACUAGACAGGGAGUCUGAGAGAAAAUCACCGAAAAAGUUUCGGACACCGAAAAGUUUCGGACAGCGGAAUCGUACCGCAGAGAGAGGUCAUCGGAUAAGUUUCGAUGAUACCGAAAAGUUGUUUCGGGAUACACCAUUAAGUCAAAUUGGUUUCGGCACAUGCCUGAUAAUUCUUGGAGGAUGCCAGAAUCAUUCUGGAAGCUUUUUGGAAUUUUCCGAGAUAAAAACCGGAAAUGUUCCGGAGCUGCCGGAGCCACUUCAGAUGCGUUUCGCAGAUGAAAAUCACUAAAACCAGAAUUGUUUCGGAACGCGUUGAAAAUCAUUUUAGUGGGUACUGGAAAUGUUCUUAGCCCACAUAAAUAUUUUCAGUUCGAUCAAACGCUGAAAAAUGUCGUCGUGAAUAGUGAAAAUCAGCUUUAUGGUUACUUUAUGGAAAGCCACCUUUUGGGGCUUUGCUCCAAAAGAUCAUGGGGAUGACAUGGAUGGAUAGGAGCCAUUUUUUGGGCCCCUCAUGGGGGUGUGGCCGGCCACAUGGGGUAUCCCCCCUUGGGGACCCUCUUGUUCCUUGGUUUCACUCCUAGGUCCUUGUGGAAGGACUUCAUUCAUGUGCAUUUUGGGUUUUUUGUGAAACUACCCUACCCCCUUGGGAUUUCCUAUAAAUAGAGGUGGAGGGGCAGCCCUCCACACUCAUCCCUUGCUCUCAUACACAUGCCAUGCAUUAUCUGGCUUCUUCUCUCCCUCCCACGAAAAGAGUUUCGUAGAGCCGUAAGGCUGUCUGGGUUCCGGCAGGAACUAGUUCUGGACGGCGAAGCCCUGCCGGAUAGAUGACACCGUAUGUGUGCAACUCUGUAGAGAGAUCGUAGUUUCGGUCUUAGUUCGUGAGUGCCUCCCGAAGGGNNNNNNNNNNNNNNNNNNNNNNNNNNNNNNNNNNNNNNNNNNNNNNNNNNNNNNNNNNNNNNNNNNNNNNNNNNNNNNNNNNNNNNNNNNNNNNNNNNNNNNNNNNNNNNNNNNNNNNNNNNNNNNNNNNNNNNNNNNNNNNNNNNNNNNNNNNNNNNNNNNNNNNNNNNNNNNNNNNNNNNNNNNNNNNNNNNNNNNNNNNNNNNNNNNNNNNNNNNNNNNNNNNNNNNNNNNNNNNNNNNNNNNNNNNNNNNNNNNNNNNNNNNNNNNNNNNNNNNNNNNNNNNNNNNNNNNNNNNNNNNNNNNNNNNNNNNNNNNNNNNNNNNNNNNNNNNNNNNNNNNNNNNNNNNNNNNNNNNNNNNNNNNNNNNNNNNNNNNNNNNNNNNNNNNNNNNNNNNNNNNNNNNNNNNNNNNNNNNNNNNNNNNNNNNNNNNNNNNNNNNNNNNNNNNNNNNNNNNNNNNNNNNNNNNNNNNNNNNNNNNNNNNNNNNNNNNNNNNNNNNNNNNNNNNNNNNNNNNNNNNNNNNNNNNNNNNNNNNNNNNNNNNNNNNNNNNNNNNNNNNNNNNNNNNNNNNNNNNNNNNNNNNNNNNNNNNNNNNNNNNNNNNNNNNNNNNNNNNNNNNNNNNNNNNNNNNNNNNNNNNNNNNNNNNNNNNNNNNNNNNNNNNNNNNNNNNNNNNNNNNNNNNNNNNNNNNNNNNNNNNNNNNNNNNNNNNNNNNNNNNNNNNNNNNNNNNNNNNNNNNNNNNNNNNNNNNNNNNNNNNNNNNNNNNNNNNNNNNNNNNNNNNNNNNNNNNNNNNNNNNNNNNNNNNNNNNNNNNNNNNNNNNNNNNNNNNNNNNNNNNNNNNNNNNNNNNNNNNNNNNNNNNNNNNNNNNNNNNNNNNNNNNNNNNNNNNNNNNNNNNNNNNNNNNNNNNNNNNNNNNNNNNNNNNNNNNNNNNNNNNNNNNNNNNNNNNNNNNNNNNNNNNNNNNNNNNNNNNNNNNNNNNNNNNNNNNNNNNNNNNNNNNNNNNNNNNNNNNNNNNNNNNNNNNNNNNNNNNNNNNNNNNNNNNNNNNNNNNNNNNNNNNNNNNNNNNNNNNNNNNNNNNNNNNNNNNNNNNNNNNNNNNNNNNNNNNNNNNNNNNNNNNNNNNNNNNNNNNNNNNNNNNNNNNNNNNNNNNNNNNNNNNNNNNNNNNNNNNNNNNNNNNNNNNNNNNNNNNNNNNNNNNNNNNNNNNNNNNNNNNGGAGGGCUGUCUGAGGAGCAGAUGAGGGUAUACAUCCUCGCGGUUGGGAGGUUGUAAAUCCUAGCUGCGGGGAUCUGCACCGCCGAUCGUCAUCGACUCUACUUCCCGCUGCGCUACGAGUCGGUAACGAAAAAGAUCAAACCAUGUAUGCAGUCUCCAUAGUGGUCCUGGGCUGGUGCGUUGGUCGGAAAUUUUUUGUUUUCUGCUGCGUUACCCUACAAAGUGGAGGGUCCAAAAUGGGAGGAAACGACGCAAAGUCGACGGUAACUGGUAGUGACGACUUGUGGGGAAAUGCACCUAUUUUUUAAAAAUCGCUAAUGGCCCAAACCGAAAUAUGGAAGUUUAAGUGGCAGGACUCGGAUAUGCAAUUUUGGUAGUCGCACAGACCAAUUCUUCCCCAAAAUAUAAUAUGAAAACUUUUUUAUGAUAGGUUUGAGGAUAUUGAUCAGUAUCGUAUAUGUUAAUAUUUCUUUCUUAUAAACUAGAUCAAAGUGUAAUCAAACAAAACAAAUAUGCACUCUAUUUUGAAAGGAGGGGAGUAGGCCCUAUCUAUAAGACAUCAUGACCGUGGCUAUUCAUGAUUUCUUGGAACUAGUACUAAUGACAUUUUAUUGGACUAGGUAAUUGCCCGUGCAUUGCAACAGGGCCGAUCUACUGUGAUGGUUCAUGCACAUCAUGGCAUUUUUUGCUUAUAGUACCGCAGGAUCACUCUUCUUCCUCAAUCUCUCACUCACCCACUGCGCUCUCUCUCUCUCUCUCUCUCUCUCUCUCUCUCUCUUCUUCCACCUUGUCUGAAUAUUAGAUAGGAAUACUUGCCUAGAAACCAUAUGUCGGACUUGGAGCCAAAUGGAAUGUUAGCAAGAAGUUCAGGGCAUAUGUAACUGGGAGUUCCUACAACCUUCAAAAGAGACACGGUAUAUCAAAUCAUAAGCAACUUAGAAAGAGAAAGACCUACAUAUGUAGGGCUUGAGCAAGAACAACUUACUGACGAAGCUAAAUCAUCAGAAGUCAAUACUUUUGCCAAAAUCACCUAUGUCACACAACAUAUAUUCGGAACACAAAAUUUGUUGUCAGUUCAUACAAGUAUUCACAGUGCAGUUAUUCCAAGAUUUUUUUUUUUCGUGAGAGCAUACUUACCGAGCCAUAUAUUCUGGUCCUUUGUAAGAAAAAAAAUACAAAGCAUGGUGAGUAACCUGCUAGGAUUAACUGAACUGUGAUUAUCACAUAAAGUCACUACUAUUAUAAGAAGUUGUCCCAGGCCCCCGCGUCGCCCACCUCCCAGGGUGACUCGGGCGACAGCGAGAUCUACUCCGCCAGGUCCCUCUCGCACCUUCUCUCCCCCCUCGCCGCCGCCCUAUGGACUCGGCCUGGCUAAGCCCGUGCAGAUCCGGCGGCGAUGGGGCCCCUGGCACCCUGGUGUGGCUUGUCCUCGGGCGGGAGGCUCGAGCGAUGGAUGGACGGCGCAGCGCUCCACCGCCUGCGUCGCUAGGCCCGGUGGUGGUGGAGGACGGCGGUGGUCACGGCAGUGCGCCCAUGUCACCGCAACCCUCUUCUUCAGGAAUGGGAUCCUGCUCAGAUCCAUGGAGGCAUGGUGGUCGCAGCGCGGGCGCACGCGCGCGGAUGGCGUCCAGUCUGGCAGCAGGAUCAACCAUGAUGGUGGCGGCGGCUACCUCCGGCGGUCGGGUGUCCUUCACGUUGAUUUUGUCCGGUAAGCGGCUUAGCGGCGCCUCCGGCCAGAUCCGAUCUGGCCGGUGCUGCCAGCGGUGGUGUCCAUCUCCUCCGUCGGAGGUGGUCGGCCUGAGGCUGGAUGAUCAGAUCUCGUGAUCUGUCAUCUAGUUCCGGCUGCGAGUCGGGAUGACAUAGUUGCCAAUGAAAACCGAGCCGAUGGCAGACGAUGACGGCGCUAUACGCCGUUACCUUGAUGAACGCAUCAUCAUGCAACGAUUGUCGACCAACUCGUGCUGCUCCGAGGGAAACCCUAGGACCUGGUCUUCCAGAUCGGACGAUGGUGGUACUGCGGUGUCGUUUCUCUCUUGGGAGCAUCGUUUGUGAAGCAGCGCUGGAAGACAGAGGCAGGAGAUGGAGCGGCUUCGUCUUGCACGGAGCUUCGGUGGAGAUGUCAAGUCAUGCCUGGCCGACAGGUGCUACGCUGUGUCAUGCCUGGUCGGCAGGUGCUACGCACGACAGAUCUUCCAGAAUCUUCGCGUCUGGAUGGACGAGCGCGGGGUGGUGGCGCCGUUGUGUGCCGUGGUGGCGUCGACGGAUGGACGGACUGACAAGGAUGAUGUGGAUCUCUCUCUUGAAGAUGGGUCAGCAGUCCGAUGAUGAUGGCGGGUGUCUAAAAGAUGUGUAUGUGUGGUGUACACUGCUGCACCGGCUGUUCGUUCCGAUGCGUUAUGUGGAUGAAUCGGCGACGACAUCGGUUUAGAUAUGGGGAGUGAGAGCACUCCACAUAAUCAAGUUUUGUAGGUGAGAGUGGUGGCUUCGGGUGGUUUGAUGUACGUUCUUGUUAGACCUUGAUGAAAUAAUAAAUAAAGAUGGCCGCAUGCAUCGCUUGAUGCAGAGGCCCGGGGUUUAAACCUCCUUUUUCAAAAAAAAAACAUUAUCAGAAGUUGAGCAACUAAAAAUGCAUGGACAGACUCGCUUACUUUAUUGCCUGAUCAGGGCGGCUUGGGAAGGCCGGCGGCUCCACAACGUGUGGGCAUUAUGAGAAGAGUUGUGAUGUUGCUCCUCGUCACUGGUUAAAAGGGUGCUUGAUACGUUUUAGUGCUAUGACUAAAAUUAGUGGGACUAAAACUUGCUAGCCUCAUCCAUGCUUGGAUCCAAAUACUAAAGAGACUAAAAUCAAGUUAAUGAGCAUUUAUUAUCCUCCAAAGCCUCCAAUCCAGAACUCGGCUGUGUUAAAGGAGAGGAGUUAAAUGAGGAGAGAGAGGACUAAUCCACAUUUUAGUAGGGGUACCCCUGACUAAAAAAAUUUAGUCUCAAGACUAGUUUUAGUCUCUCUUUAGUCAGGGGUGCUUAGAACUUUAUCCUCUUAAAAGAUUAUUUUUAAUCAGACUAAAAUAAGUCCCUUGAAUCCAAGCACCCUCUAAUUGUCCAAUGCUACUGCCACACCAUUUUGCAAACACGGCAAUGAAAAGGUCAAACCAUAACUCCACGCUUACCUUAGAAGGCAGAUCAAAAAUUAAAAUUGAGUCAGUGAUUAGAAUCCUGCAGCCUCGCGUGGUUGUUCAUUGACACAACAGAUAGAGCUACUACUAUGAUGAGAAUCAAUCUAAUAGAUACGUGUCCCUGGAAAGAGUAUGAACUUUGGACUCCCAAUUGUCGUCGGACGAGCACAGGCGGGCGCACAUGUCUUUUCGGCCAGGCCCAGGCGUCUCCUCCUAGCACCAAUGUUGCAGACCUGUCUCAAACCUGAACCAUAGAUUGAUGCAACCGUGAUGGUGGUCAUCACAUUUUAGAUUGAUGCAGCAGUGUCAGGCUCAACGUAGCGGCAUGUACUGUGGAGUGUGGAGUGUGGAGUGUGCCGUCUAUGACUGCCAACACAGGUCGGCUAGGCGAGAGAGGAAGGAGGAGGAAGACCGGCGAUGAUAAUUACGGAGAGUCAGAAGCAGUGGCAUGGGUGAGAGGAUGGUCGGUGGUGCGUUGCAAAGAGGCAUCAAGGCCGGUGGCGGCAUAUGAGUGGCUGGAGGCGGUCGUGCAUGAGAGCACGGGGGCGUACAGGGAGGCGCCGAUGGUCGGGUUUGGCUAGCGCCGACGCUAAACCUGGAAUUUCCUAUUCGACUCUCUCUGCGUCGAAAUGUCGAGGUAACGCACACAGCGACGAUACUAACCGAACGACUGGGCCGGCCCAUCUAUAUAUCUUUCCCUAAUCUUUCUUUCCCUAUAAUAUAAUUAUAAUUAUAAUUAUAAUUUAUAUAAUAAAGCACGGAUUGACUCCGUGGGUUCAUCUUCACAAUACGCUUUCUUCUCGUGUCAUAAUACGCUUUUACGAUUUGUAUAGACAAAAUCGUAAUAUAAACGAGGUGGUACUAAAACGCUUGCGAAAAAGUCAUUAUUUUUUUGAUGGUACUAUUUUUCUGCCCACCUCACGAUUGUUUUUUUUAAUAGUUUGAAUUGCUUACCACAUGUGUCACGUGGUGCCCACCUCACGGUUGUUCACGCAGUCGGGCAACUCAUCCAGCAAGUUAUAUGCCAAAUUCAGUUCUUUUUUCUAACUAAGCCUGGCCCACGAGGCCACGUCCAGUUGAAGCUAGACGGACGAUGAAUUGGAGAUGGGAAAGUGUUAAAAUCAGCCGGAUGAUCUAUCCCAAGCGUAAGCCGCGUCUAACGUUUGACACGUGUCCAGGUGGGCCUCGCGCAUCACAGCUUCCACCCUUCGUGCUUAUCCCAAUUCUCAACCGAGAAGCACUCACCACACAUCUAUUCUCUCCCCGUACACCACGCGUUGACUGCAAACCACUCACAAACUGUCUAUUGAAUCUCGCCGGCUCUACAAGGCCCUGGAUGCGCCGCUCGCGGCAGCGCUAACCGGCGCUACAACCGGAGAAUCUCGCCGGGGGGAGUGCUGCAACCAGCCGUUGCAGCCACCAUGGGUCUGCUGCAAUCCUGUCUCAAAUCGACGGCUAAUGUCGCCGAAGUUGCAAUCGCACAGCUCGUCGGUGUUGCAGCCGUGGCCGGCGCCAACGGAGGAAACGGCCGCAUCGUCGGGACCGUCAGCCAUGGUUGGUGUUGCCGAGCGUGUUGAUGCAGCGCCGCCGGUGUUGCGGAGAGGAGCGCUGCAACCCGUGGAUCUCGUCAGCGGCGGUGGAUGGUUCCGUGGAGCGCGCGUGUCGCGUCCUCGUAGCUCUCGGUGGGCGACGGAGCUGCAGUGCAACUCGCCGGUGGGCGGGAGGUAGCUUUAGUGCAACAUGCAUCGUGCUGCCCGCCGGUGGCGGAGCUCAGUGCAGCGGGCGUGGCGCUGCAUGCCGGCCGGUGGAGCUGCACACUAGUACAAAACAGGGCUUUCGUCACAGGGCAAUAUUCACAUUAGUCCCGGUUCAGUCACGAACCGGGACUAAUGUGAGCAUUGGUCCCGGUUCGUGCGGCUAAGGCAUUAGGGCCGGUUCACCUGGGCCCUUUAGUCCCGGUUGGUGCCACGAACCGGGACUAAAGGGUGCGAUGCCCAUUAGUACCGGUUGGUGGCACCAACCGGGACCAAAUGUUAGUCCUUUAGUCCCGGUUGGUGCCACCAACCGGGACCAAAGGACAUGUGCUGCCCGCGUCGCGGCCAAAGUUUAGUCCCACCUCGCUAGUUGAGAGAGCUCGAGAGUGGUUUAUAAGCGCUGCUGCGCCCAUCCUCUCGAGCUCCUCUCAAUUGCAGGCUUUCGGGCCUAACCGUACACUGUGUGCCUGUGGGCCUACUGGGCCACCUGCGGGCCUGAAUCCUGGCCCAUGGUUGGGUUUCUAGUCGUAUUCAGGCCGUGGUGGCCCAGUAGAUGGCACUUUUUUUUCUUUGUUGCUUUAUUUAUUUUAUUUUGUUUCUACUUACAACAAAAUACUUACUGUUGCUAUUUUUAUUUAUUUUAUUAAAUUUUAUUUUUUAAUUCUUUUUGCUUUUAGGUCACAAAAAUUAUAAACUUUCUGUUAGUGCCAUUAGUUUUCAAAUUUGAAUUCUUUGAUUUUGUUAUUAUUGUGUUUUAUGAUUCUAUUCAAAAACAGAUUUUGUUAUUUUAGUUUCUAACAAAAAAAUCUUUAUGAUAAUGCUUUUUGCUAUUAAAUUUCUAACAAAAACAUUCUUUAUGAAAAUUCUUUUCGCUAUUAAAGGGCCCAUCAAACUCUACCCCCCCUCCCGUGGACCGCCUUUUCAGUUUUAGAAAAAACAAAAGAAAAUGAUGGAAAUGUCAAAAAAAUAAAAUAACAUAAGUUUCCCAUGUGAUAUGUGGUCUAGUUGUUGGGAAAAUUAACAAAUAUGAAUUUCGACUUUAUUUGCAAAAUCUCUCUGGAAUUUCUUAAAAUGGGCAUAACUUUUGCAUACGAACUCGGAUUAAAAAGUUUUUUAUAUGAAAAAUCAUCUACUCGAAAAGUUACAUCCGAAUUUAGCCCGGGGAACCCCGUUAAACAUUUUCAAAAUCCUCAAAAACCUAACAGAAAAAAGAUACGGGGCUUUUAAGAUCUAGAGAGGCAAAAAAAUUCAAAAAAUUUCAAAUUGUGGUCAAACUGUGGUCAAACAAUGGUCAAACUAAUUAUUCUAGAAUAUUAGUGUUACUAAAUAAUUAUUUCAGUUUUUUUGAAUUUUGGUCAAAUCUGGUCAAACAGUGGUCAAACAAUGGUCAAACUAAUUAUUCCAGAAAUAUUAGUGUUACUAAAUAAUUAUUGUUUUUUAAAACAAUAGUUUCAAACUCAAACAGUGAAAUGUGUCACUUCAUGCUCAAGCUAAAUUCCUGAGGGUUAAUAGAAUUGACAUCUUACUAUUGUCAGGAAAACAACAAGUGCAGACUUGGAAACGAGGGAGAAUAGAACCCGGAAGUUAAGCAUGCUCAGGCUGGAGUAGUGAGAGGAUGGGUGACCGUCCGGGAAGUUAGAUGAUUUGGAAUGACGAGGGGUGAUUAGAGAUUAGAGGAUAAAUUGAGCAGUGAUGAGGGGUGAUGAUUAGAGAUUAGAGGUUAAAAUAAUUCAGAAAUUUGAAAAUAAAAAAAAUUUCAAAAAAUUCGCAAAAAAAAUUUUCAAAAAAAAAAACAUAAAAUUUCCUUUAGUCCCGGUUGGUGUUGGUAACACCAACCGGGACUAAAGGUGGAGCUCCAGGCUGCGUCCAUGUGGACGGCCUUUAGUCCCGGUUCGUGUAAGAACCGGGACUAAAGGGGGGAGGCAUUAGUAACGAGCCUUUAGUCCCGGUUCAAAAACCGGGACUAAAGGCCCUUACCAACCGGGACAAAAGCCCCCUUUUCUACUAGUGGCAGUGCAACAUGCCGGUGGACGUCGGAACUGCAGUGCAACGGGCUGCCGCCGGGGCUGCAAUGGAGCUCGGUCGGAGUUUCAACGGAGCUUCGCCGGAGUCGUCGGAGCUCCGCCGGGGCCGCAAUGGAGCUCGGCCGGAGUUGUAAUGGAGCUUCGCCGGAGCGUCGAUGUUGCGUUGGAGCUCCGUCGGUGCUGCUAUGGAGCUCGGCCGGAGUUGCAAUGGAGCUUCGCCGGAGUGUCGAUGCUGCGUUGGAGCUCGUUCCGGUUCCAAUGGAGCUCACCGAACGUCGUCGGUACUGUGUUGGAGGCUUGGAGCUAUGCGCCGGGCUGCAAUGGUGUUGUGCUGAAAGCUCAAUGCUGCCCGCCGGCGGCGGAGCUGCAAUGCAACGUGGGCGCAGCUGCAACGCGCGGAUCUCACUGGCGGCGGAGCUGCAAUGCUACUCGUGUGGCGACUUCCUGAUCUCGCCGGCGACGGAAACUGCAAUGCAACGGGCUGUUUUUGCUGUGGGGGAUUUGACCCGUGGUGCAUGGCCGGUGCAGGUACUUACACGGGAGGAGGGGAGGACCAGGUUGUUGACGACGAGCGACGGACGACCGAGUCAAUUUCAGGCUUGGAAAGGGGAAGGAUGCACGUGGUCUAGCUGGCUUAAAUCAAACGGCUGCGCGCCUCUCAUCGAACGGCUAGCUAGGCGGUUUAGAAUUUGACUCCUGUCAACCGGAUGACGCGUAGCACUGGCCAUUGGAGAUAACCACGACCUGACUUUAUCUGGCUCGGUCUUUUCGUACGUCGCUCCCCUGCUACCGUGUUACCCAACACGUAGUACUAUUUUUUCUCCGUGACUCUAGAGGACGAGGACAGUUGGAGUCGAACACCGAUAUCCCUGGCCGACUUCCCAAUUCCUUCCAUAAAUAUCGUCUCGGCAGAGACGGAGGCCUGGAUAUGUGAAGGCGGUGCAGAAACAGACGGCCGUGCCGGCAAUGAUAGGUGCCAUACGAACUCGCCGAUGUCGUCCGUUGUGUCGUCAUCGGCAGAAAGUGAGGAUCUCCCUCCUCCUAGCCGACAGCCGGACCGCCGUCGUGCUAUCCGCCGGCCCAUGAGCAAGAUGCCCCCCAUCCGCCUCGCCAACAGACGGUCCGCCGUCAUGCAGGCAUGGCACGGUCCCGGUCCCCGAUGAACGCCGCCAGCCGAUGCACUGGUCGAACGAGAUAUCGUACAGUGCUGGGUAUCGCGUGUGGCCAUGAUUGCGCACGCCUGUCGUUCCCGAUCAGGUCGCACCGUAGGAGGACAAUGAUUUCGCAUGUAAGACACCUCCACGGACUGCAUCAGCACUCCAGCCGUCUCGUGCCCGGCGGCAGCGGCAAGACAGCACAGCGGGAGGCAGAGGUAAGUAGACGAUUGUGGUAGCAGCGACGAACAGGCUGGAGGAAUUAGUGAUGUGUACUUGCAGUUGUCAUGAACGACAAAUUAACACGUACGGCUUGUGGACACUAAUAGGCUUCUUUCAUUAACAUGGAACACAUUGGCGUUUAAACAUCUUCUCUUUCCCAUUACAGGACACAUGCCCUGUUCUACGUCUUUAUGUAGUAGAUCAAACAGCAGACCUCCCAUAAAAAAGAAGCAGAGAUGCUUAAAUUAUGGCCAUGGCCGAGCUAUUCUGUUGCCGUGUCCUCAUGUGAAUGUGUGUGUUGUCUGAGUCGAGCUGGUGUUUAGAAAAAAACCAACAAACAGGAGCCUUCAUAUCUAUCACGCUCAAAUGGCAUGCAAUCAUGCAUGUACGCGCAAAUUGAAAGCUUAAUGAGUGAUAUUAAAUAAUGAGUUCCCCUAAAAAUAUAUUAAAUAAUGAGUGUGAUUUUUGUAUCCUUUAUAUUCCAUUAAUAGAUGGAAAUGUGUAUUUUAUUAGGUGAUUUGUUAACAAUUUAGAUUUUUGUUGCAAAUAAUAAUAUUUCGCUUUUUCUGAUCAACUACUCCAAUUAUGGAGGUCAAUGUUGGAGUACGAUUUUACCGAGGUAAAAUAUGUUGUUUGUAAGAGAUUUUGUAUUCUUUACCAAUACAUGGACACCAUAGAGUAGCUCUUCACGCCUAGCUCAAGUGGAAUGUGUUUUUAAGUUAUAAACAUUUCCUUGUAUUGGUAUGGUUUAAUGGAUGGGUGAGCUCGUCGUCUUGGGAUUGACCAUGUUCAGAUGCCUUGCGACCUGUUAGACCGUUGGUGAUGGUGGAAAAGAGGAUAAUCGUCGACAAAUGGGGUGUCACAUUGAAAUAGAUGUUGUGGGCUGUGUGGGGGAGGUGUUGGGAAUGGGAUUAUGAUAAUUUUUUUUCCUAAUGCAACACACGGACAUAUUUGUUAGGAUCCAACAAAAUAUUGUGAUGCGCUAGGAAAACAAUACCAUUGGAAGCUAGGCGUCGAUGGAGACGUCAAGGUCACACGGCCACCACAAGUUUGCAUUGUUGUUUCUUUCCGUUGCAACGCACGGGACUUUUUGCUAUAAUAAUAAUAAUAAUAAUAAUAAUAAUAUAAUCUCUCCCUAUAUAAAGCACGGAUUAACUUUGUCGGGUUCACCGUCACAAUACGCUUUUUUCUCAUGUCAUAAUACGCUUUUACUAUUUGUAUGAAUAAAAUCGUAAUAUAAACGAGGUGGUACUAAUCUUUCCCUAAUAGCGUGCGCCCUGCGCUGCGUUUUUUCGGGGCCUGCACCCAUCCGCCCCGCACCCGCUUGGGCCUCAUGAAGCCGGCCCAUCUACACUGGGAAAGGCAAAAACAGUGGCGCCUUGUGUCGCUACCCGGGAUCGAACUCGCAAUCUCCUAGGAAAUUUGUAAGGCUGCAACCAACCGAGCUAGACAAUGUUUUUGUUUAGUCCCACCUCGCUUUAGCACAUCACAUAUCACCAGUUAAAAUAUGUGUGUGAAAACUGCACCUAUGUGGAAACUGGCUGCUCGAUGGAUUAUAUGGCCGCAAUGAGAAAACGCAUGCACACAAAUCGGCCCAAUGACUCCGCAUCUCUCAGAAAAAUAGAGAAAUACAGGAAGGAUAAUUCAAGGAAGGAUUGAGAAUUGUUGGGAAAAUUAGGGACAAAAAUAUAAGAAAGGUAAUUCAAGGAAGGAUUGAGAAUUGAGGACAAGUCAAUAAUAUAGACUGAGAGAAAUAAUAUAAAGGAAGGAACGAGAAUUGAGGAAAAAUCGUGCCAAAUUUCCAUGAUAUCCGUACGUGGAGGCUAAUCUUCUAUUUAAGUGGUGGGCUAAUUAAACAGGUUCCUAAACUAGGAGAGCCACCCAUGCCUAUAGGUGGGGAUUCGGCUUGCCUGCUCUAUACGUGGUGGCUGCUAUUUAGACAGAUUCCUAAGACUGAAUAAUAUAAUAUUGAAAGCCCCGACGUAAUGCCGGGAAUGAAUAUAUGUUCAAACUUCAAGAAGAAAGUUAUAUCCACGACUACAUUGGAUGUUUUUUUCUCCAUUGCGUCUUUGGUAUGACCGAGUCGACCAACACAUGCCGGUCACUGACAUGCUCUUCUGCUAGACAUCGUCACGUAGAAGCCUGCCUCGCUCAGCCCAGUGCCACCGGUCACAACGGAUGAGGAGUCGAACUCAAAUGUCAUGGUGUGUCCAACACGAACUACUCCAUUUUCCCUACUAUAUUAGCCGAAUGAUAAUAAAUCUUUGCCCAACGUUCUUAGUCUAGCCGAACACGAAGGAUGCUAAAGCAUCCAGUUCUUGGGCCUGGCCAACCUUGCUUAGUAACAAUUGGCAGUGUGGCUAUCGACAACGAGGGUGGAAAAGUGGAUAAGCGGAAACUUGAUUCAGGUGUCAUGUUCAAAUAGAGGACGCCGGCCUAAGAGUGAGGUCUUAGUCAUGUUUAUUUGGUUAGGGGCAUGGAGGUGAGGUCUUACGCCAUGCUCAAUUGGUUGAGUUAGGACUUGUGGUGUUUGUUUUCUCCCGUUGCAACGCAUGGGCAUUUUUGCUAUCUUUUCCUAAUAAUAAAGCACGGAUUGACUUUGUCGGGUUCACCGUCACAAUACGCUUCUUCUCGUGAAUUUACGUUUUCAGUUUUUUUCCGACACGUCCAUAUUUUUUCCAAAAUUCAAGGUGGUACUAAUUAAAUCUACGGUCCCUUUUUAGAUGUUACUUUAAGCCGACACCUUGUCCUACGUUACGUGUAGGUUUCAGACUCCAGAGAUAACUCCCGUUGAAGAACGAACUGGGAAACUCCCAAACUUAUAAAUAACUACAUUACUAAUCCCUAAUACAAAGAGAACAGGCGCAUAGAGAAUCCCCUCGAUUUCCUCCUCAUAUAUCGCACGAACUCGAUGAUGCCGCCGCCAAACCACCGCAAGUCCAAGAGCUUGAUUCUCUCCAUCGCCCUCGCCGACAGCCGGGCCACCAUCACGGCAGGAACUCGCCGAUGCCAUCCACAUGCCUGAUGCUCUCCCUCCGCCUCACCGACAGCCGAACCGUCGUUGGUCUUGCCGGCAUGGACCUGGUCCAUCAUGAUCGCCGCCGGCCGCUGUUAUGGCCGUGUUAAAAAAGGAUGUUGUAGAGGCGCUGGGCGCCAUGCGUAGCCACGACUGGAUGGCCUGAUCUUCCCAGCCAGGUGGCAUCGUAGGAUGGCAAUGAGCUCACAUGCAGGGACUACGUCCGGCACUCCGGCCGUCGCGCGUUUGGUGGCAACAGCGAAGGCAGCAAGGCAGAGGUGGCGGUGUGAGGGCAGAUUGAAGGUGCUUGGAUGCAUCCCUACUGGCCACCGCAUCUGCACAUCGUACUCAUAAUAGUUCCCAGGUGUUGGUCAACCUUUUCCCUCUCACGGUUGCACCAAUCCAUGGCUGCAUAUGGUGGCCAUAGACAAAGCUUUUCAAGAAGAGAUAAGAAUCUGGUAUAUGGCUCGUGUAAAAAGUCUUCCAACUGCCUAGAUCUAGGCUUGUGGAUGCAUGGUGUCUUCUUGCCCAAAGUCGUCGGCGUGCACACAAGACGAUGAGAGCUCGUUUUUUUGCGAAAGAGAGCCCAUAUUUUCAACCACUCUAUUUUUUCCUUCAGGUCUUGUGGCAUCAAGGCGGUGUGGCACUUGAUCUUUGUGCGUGUGCAUGCGUGGAAAUUGGAUGUGCUGCUGCUUACACACUAAAAUUGUAGCUAUUUGUUUUUCGACAAAGGGUGAAUUUUAUUGGCUCAAAAUAGAGCAUCAAGAAGAUACAAACAUAAUGAGCACACCCGGCCUCUGCAUAGCUAGGAUGCACACAGCCAACACCAACACACGCACACAAGAACAUACCAACAAAUAGCAAAGUCAUACAAGACCAAAGCUAUGCAUAGGUGAGAAAAAAAAAACCUGAAUCGAUCAAAUCCAUAAUCGGAAAACUACAUCAAUGACCAUAUCCACACCAACCAUCUUAUUACACCAAAUGAACGACGAGAUUCUUCAACAGCAACGCCUUCAGAAAGGGAGCGACGCUCAAUAGUCGCCGUCACCGGAUCCAACCACCUAAGGUCAGAAUCUAGGUUAUUUGUGGUGAGGUAAUUUUUGGUUGUGUGCGCUACUGCUUCUUAUAGACGUGAAUUUCUACUUCUUGCAAUUACUAAUGCACAAAUAUUUCAGAUUUUUUAUAUUCCAGACAUAAUAUUUAGUUUAGAAAGGCGGACAUGGCUGACACAAUGACGCAUAUAAUUUAAACCCCCCAUUCUCUGGCUAUAUGAUGCACAAAUGGGAUUAGUUUGGCAGUUCUAAACUGGUCUGCCGAAGGUAGCGCUAUUGUGGCCUAGAACUCACUUCUUAACUGCAAGGUCCAUGUGUUGUCUAGAUGCGCAACUCUUGCUCCAAACUGUAGAGGAUAAUGGUGCAUAGACCAAGUGUGAGGAGUAGCUCACGGAGGGUGGCCAUCACGUCGAACUUGGCAACUAUAGUUUUUAAACUUUAAACAUUCUCUUGCGUUGGUGAGGUUUAAUGACAGGUGUGUCGUACGUUGGUGAAGUUUAAUGACAGGUGUGUCGUGUGUUUUAUCAUAGAAUUAACCACUUUCGGACAUGUUUGUCAUCAGGUGGACACCAUGGCCUCCAUCGAUGAGGGCAAAAAAAAAUAAGCAGUGAAGAUAUGGAAGUCUUAAGACAUGCUAAUUUAGCUAGGGGCCUACCAUAUAUAUUACCCCGUUGCAACGCACGGGCAGNNNNNNNNNNNNNNNNNNNNNNNNNNNNNNNNNNNNNNNNNNNNNNNNNNNNNNNNNNNNNNNNNNNNNNNNNNNNNNNNNNNNNNNNNNNNNNNNNNNNNNNNNNNNNNNNNNNNNNNNNNNNNNNNNNNNNNNNNNNNNNNNNNNNNNNNNNNNNNNNNNNNNNNNNNNNNNNNNNNNNNNNNNNNNNNNNNNNNNNNNNNNNNNNNNNNNNNNNNNNNNNNNNNNNNNNNNNNNNNNNNNNNNNNNNNNNNNNNNNNNNNNNNNNNNNNNNNNNNNNNNNNNNNNNNNNNNNNNNNNNNNNNNNNNNNNNNNNNNNNNNNNNNNNNNNNNNNNNNNNNNNNNNNNNNNNNNNNNNNNNNNNNNNNNNNNNNNNNNNNNNNNNNNNNNNNNNNNNNNNNNNNNNNNNNNNNNNNNNNNNNNNNNNNNNNNNNNNNNNNNNNNNNNNNNNNNNNNNNNNNNNNNNNNNNNNNNNNNNNNNNNNNNNNNNNNNNNNNNNNNNNNNNNNNNNNNNNNNNNNNNNNNNNNNNNNNNNNNNNNNNNNNNNNNNNNNNNNNNNNNNNNNNNNNNNNNNNNNNNNNUUACGCUUUCACUUUAAAUUUAAAACAUAUACACAAGGUGGUACUAUAUGUUUUAUGUGCCCAAACUUGUAGCUAAAAUUUCCUUAAAACGUUUCGGAGACUCUGUCACCUCCGUAGCCACCGGGAUAGGAGCGGCACAUCUAUAAGUAGCGAGAUCUGAGAGAACGCUGAACCACGCCGAUCGAACAUCGUGGACGCCAUCAUGGAUACGCGCGUGAGCUGCGCCGCCGAGCAGAGAAGGUCGAAUGGGGGACGGCUCCGGCGGGGCUCUCGUCGGCGAACUCGUCGGCCGUCCGGCUCUCCCCUCCGCCUCUGUCCCUCUCGGCCUCUCCUCCGCCUCCGGCGUCCCCGGCCCCCCUGUAGGUGCGUCUCCAUCCCAGCAUCUGAGCUCCCCUGUCCUCGUUGGCCAGCAGCCGUGAUGAGGCGCUCGUCGGUCGGCAGCCAUGGCGCCGCUGGGUGGAGAAGAUUGGCGGUGGCGUCAGAUCUUCCCGUCGUCCGGUUCAUCUCGUGCACCGUCACGUCCACCGCUUCGGCCCCGUCACGCGCGCGGCCGUGGUGUACAUGGCGCCCAUCCUCCCCGGCCCCCCGGGACCUCACCUGCCCCGCUCGGCCCGUCGACGACGACCACGUCCCACCUCGCGUCUAGCACCUCCCGCGGUAAGGAGGUCAGCACCAGCCGGCAACCCAACUUGCGCACCGUCCCCGUCGGGCGCCGGCACACCGGGCUCGACCUCGCGCGCCGCAGCACCGCCCACGCCUCCCCUGCCGGGUCGGGGUACCUUGAAACAUGGACGGCCGCCGAGCUGCUGGGGCCACGCCCAACGAGCAUGCCCCCCCGCGUCCUCGGCGCUGUCGGUGACGGAGGCGGUGGCAGCGCCCUGCCCGGAGUUGACCGCGGCGAGCGCGAGGAGCUGCGGCGAGAGGCCGAACACAAGCAGCCUGCUGGGCGCGCGCGCGGCCACGAUGGAGCGGAGCAGCGCGAACUCCUUGGCGUUGAGGCCGUCUGUGGACGAGAGGUGAAGAGCGAGGAGGUGGUGGUCUGGGACACAGCCAAGGUGCAUCCUGCGCAUCAAUCAGAGACGAAGGCCAGGUAUGUAUGCAAUUAAUUCAAAGAGAUUUACUGAUUUACUUUAAUGACUACUCAGGAAGUAUGUGACAGGGAUGUUUCUCCACUGACCCCUGGAUCAUGAACGCUAAUUACAGUUGCGGAUCUGCAUAUGUGUGACUGGGAUUUUAUGGCUGCUGCAUGGCAUUGGGCAAUAUGGUGGAAUUGUUGUGGGAUUUUGGAUGUCUUUGCGGGUUCACAGAGAUAGAUGUAGGUGAGUUUCUUCUGUGCUUAUGAUUGUGUUUGAUAAUGCCUCGUUCAAUGAGCGUGCCAUUCGACCAAUUGCGAUCGUUUCGUGGCUGAUGCGUUGCCACUUGGGCCUCAGCCUGUUUGUGUGAGAUGUUCCAGCCCCAGCGAGUGUUUCUGUAAUAAAAUGUAGAAGAUUAUGGUUAAUAGAUAGUCCCACAUCGUUUACUUGUAGACAGUCCCACCAAUUUAAAUGUGUUUGUGAGUUGACGACAACAAGUAGCAUCAAAGGAGUUGGUCAAAGAUGGAAUAAAUGGAGCGGGAGAUGCUACCUCAAGAAUCAAAGGAAUUAACAAAGAAAGAGAACAGAGGGAACUCAGGCGAUGUCAUGGCCCGAGCAGAGGCAGUGGUCGACUGUGGGAGGGCAAAAGAAUAGAGGGAACUCAGGCGAUGUCAUGGCCAGAACAGAGGUGGCGAUGGACUGUGGGAGGGUGGGCCGGCAGCGGGCAAACUUGGGCGGCGUUGGUUCACCGUCGAGGUCAGGGGAGGGAAGAAAAGGAAGGAGAGGAGGCGCGGAGGAGGAGCUCGCCGGCGGCAACGCCGUGCCAGAGGCGCGGGCAGCGGGGGAAGCGAGGAGAUCGGGGCAUGGGGGCUAGCGUGCCUGUAUGGCGGCGCAAGAGGGAAAGGAUCGAGAGAGAGAGGAGAGGAAUUUUAGGAUCGGUCUGCUCUAGGUUUUUUUUUAAGCAACUUCUGGUAGGGUAAGAGAAACAGGAGAUGGGCCUUUGCUAGACCAGCUAGGCAAGUGGGCCUCUCUCUCUCUCUUUGCUGUUUUUAUUUCUUUCUAAUUUAGAAUAAACAGAGAACUAAAAGAAGUGAGGAAAAUUCCCCUCGAGUUUUGAAGUGAGGAUAUUUGCCCUGGAUCAAUUUAAAUGUGCUUAAUCCAGGAACAUAUAGGAUUUGGUCAUGAUGGAGGAAUUUAAAUUUAAUUGAAAACAAAUAUACACGGAUCACUAUGCCUCAGAGCUAGCCGAAACGCGGUUCACUCGAUAGAAGAUGGGCAAGUUUGGUAAAAUGAUGAAUAUACACAAACAAAUACUCCCUUCAUCCCAAAAUUCUUGUCUUAGAUUUCUCUAGAUACGGAUGUAUGUAACACUAAAAUGUAACUAGAUACAUCCGUAUUUAUAGACAAAUCUAAGACAAGAAUUUUGGGACAGAGGGAGUAGUAGAUGGGCAAGUCGUGUACACAAGGAAAAACUCAUGAAUUUAUUUCCAUCACGGAAAAAUACUCCCAUGGUUCCCGCAAGCACAUCGGUUGAUUUCAAUUAGAAAAACACACCGUGUAUGUUGCUGCCAAAAAAAUAAAGAGGAAUAACCCAGUAUGGACUCGGCGGUGAGUGAUGCAAUGAGGAAGCACGCCAUGCUCCUCAGGUUAUUCCUCCAACGACACCUGAUAAACGCUAGCUUCAAGACGAUAGGAAUAGGAAUACUCUAGGACCAAUCUGUCGAGAAGCAUGGUCGGCGGUGAGUGGGAGCCAAGAUCACCAUGCCAUGCACACAUACCACCAUCCGCGUCAGCAGUUGCCACCGUCUACAAGCGUUUGUAAGAACAUGAACAUAUGUCCAUGGGGAUGGGAGCCGAGCCGAACACCCAUAUAAAAUUGUAUAAAACUCACGGGCACUCACAAAAUUGAUGUUUGGAGCAACGAUUUGAGUGUAUUUUCUCUUUUCUAAAUUUAAAAUUAGAUGCAAACAAUCAAAACAUCUUUAAAGAAUAGGUUCAAACAAUCAAAACAUGUAUGCUCUACAUGAAAAAAAAUAACUGCACAUUUGAGUUUUUGUUUUCUUUUUGCAAGAAACAGUCAUAUUUCGGGUACAAAGACCAAGGAAGACCAUGUAAAAAUACAACUACAUGUUAGAAAAUCCACACUAGAAGUAGAUACUCUGUAGCAAUCUCUAUAGUGGAAAACAAUGCAUGCCUCUGUAACUACUGUUGGCACUAUUAAACUUGAUUUGGGAAAUUAAGCUUUAGUAAUAUUUCAUAUUCAUGGUUUAUGCUAUUACUGCUUCUCUGCCGUGUUGAAAUGGUGGGCGUGUAUCUAUGUGGGCUCUUAAACCACUAUUUUCCUAAGAUUGAGUUUUUUUUCUUCCGUUGCAACGCACGGGCAUAUUUGCUAGUAAUAAUAAUAAUAAUAAUAAUAAUAAAGUACGGAUUGACUCCGUGGGUUCACCGUCACAACACGCUUCUUUCCGUGAAUUUACGCUUUCAGUUUUUUUCACCUAUAUUAUUUUCUACAUCCGAGGUGGUAUUAUUAGUAGUUAUAGAUUUGAGGUGGUACUAAAAAUUUGUCCAUCUAGAAUAAGCCGUACGUUGUCUAAGCAACGUUCAACUGGGCCGAUUUUGUUUCCGUGUAGCAAUGAGCCAGGCAAGUGGGCUUUGUACUGAAGUUUUUUAUGGGCUGUGAGCACGUGAGUGGACUUUUCAGAAUCAGGUGUAUACGAGCUUGUUGCUCAAAAAAAAGGUGUAUACGAGCUUGGAUAGAACUCAGAACCUCUCCUCCUGUCCCACCUCGCUUCUUUAGAUACAAUUCUACCGGUUCAUAUACUUAAGCAGUUUGGAGGAUCAACAAGAAGAAUUGGGUACCCAAGGAAAGGAGGCGAAAAAGAAUUAACCCAACAAGGAAACGAAGGAACACCGAGAAUGGAUCAAAAGGAGCAACUGUCCCUGAUUGUUGUGCCAGCUAAAGUAUUGACUUAUGAUGAUUUAGCUUAGCUUCAAUCAGUAAGUUGUUCUUAAUGCGCAAGAGAGUGGAGAGAGAGAGAUAGAGAGAGCACCGGGAAAGAGAGUGAGUCGAUGAUAAAAAAAAAGUCCAAAAUGCUACAAUGUGCAUGGGCCAUCGGAAUAGAUCGACCCGCGGCAACUAACUAACCCGGCAAAGAAAGGAAGACACCCUAUUUGUCAUGCGAGUUUUCUAAAAAGCCAUAAUCAGUGUUCUUCCAGCUUGGGCUAAACUUAUUAGUGUUUGUCCAGCUUGGGCUGAAAUUUUAAUCAGUCCAGCUAGCUCUUUCUACGUACUUGAUCCAGUGUACAGAUCAAUUAAGGCAUUUCCCUGAAUUAGCUUUGCAUGUACCGCAAAGUAAUUCUGUUGAUGUGUUUCUUCGUCCAAAAGUACCGACUGCUAGGGUCACACAUUAUGCUCGUCGAAACCUAUACUACGUGUUCAGGUGUGCGCCAACACUAACCCAACACGUACUACAACACCGACACCACCUUGUAAAAUUCGAGGACCCGGUGAAAUCAAGCAGACACCGCCAUGGAGCGGUGAUGUCGCAUGAAGUCCAUCAUGACUUGAUGCAUUGUGUAUGUGUGCUUCUACUCACCAAAAAAAGAUAGCUUGGCAUACUAGCUAGGAAGCCUCUCAGAAAAUUCAUCCAUUUGCCUGCUUCCAAAUCAUGUACACGUGUGUACAUUGUUGUGGCCAAAAGUAUCGACCAGCAAGUUUGUCCGGGAUAAAGGAUAGCCACGAUGAUGGUUGGAUGCCGUGUUAAAGAUAUACUUUUUCUCCCGUUGCAACGCACGGGCCCUUUUGCUAGUAUAGCUAAUGAGAAGAUCGCACAUGGUUUUAGGAACUUUCAGGAAGGUUCCAGCCCAGGUUUCUAAUGGUUUUCGGAAUCUUCUAGCAGGUUCCUGAACCGAUUUUUGGACUAGUUUUCUGGUUCCUUUUUUUAUUUUUCGUUUUCGUUUUCCUUUUCUUUUUCUAUUCUUUUUUUCCUUUUCUAUUUCUAUAUUUUUUUUCGUUUUUGUUUUCUUUUCUUUAUGAUUUUUUUUCAAAAUUUCAGAACUUUUCAAAAGUUGUUCAAGAACUUCAAAAAAAUGAUUUCAUCUCAAAGACCGUUCACAAUUUUCGGAAAAUUAUUCGCAAUUUGUUUUCAAAAAAUGUUAAUGUGUUCAAAUUUUGUUUGGGAGUUUCAAAAAAUGUUCCUAUUUCAAACUUUGUUCGCAAUUUUCAAGAUUUUUUUUAUAUUUUUCAAUUUUUGUCAGGAGUUUCAAAAAUUGUUCGCAAAUUUCAAAUAAUGUUUGUGUUUUAAUUUUUGCAGAGAGUUCCAAAAAAUGUACAUAAUUUUUAAAAAAUGUUUGUGUUUGCAAAAAAAUUUCAGGAGUUUAAAAAAAUGUUCCUAUUUUAAGAAAAAUGUUCGCUUAUCCAAAAUUUGUGUUUGGAAUUUGGAAAAUGUUUCAGUUUUCGAAAAAAAUCAUUUUCAAAACAUGUUCUAGUUCUCAAAAAGUGUUCAUGUUUCCAAAUAUUGUUCAUCUCAAAUUUGUUCUACAGAUUCAGAAAAUGUUCCUGUUUUAAUUUUUUUCGUGUUUCCAAAAUUGUUCAUGUUUUCGAUAGUUGUUCGCAAAUUUCAUAAAAUGUUUCUGUUUCCAAAAAUUGUUCAUGUUUUUAAAUUUGUUCUGCUGUUUCAAAAAAUUUGCGUGUGUUAAAUGUUUUUGGUUUUUCCAAAAUUGAUCCUGUUUUAGAAAUUGUUCGCGAAUUUCAUUAUUUUACCUUUUUCCAAUUUUUCUGGAAUUUCGAGCAAAAAUUUAAAACACGAAAAAAGGAAGAAAAAAAGGAUCUUCGUUGUUUUUGGUUCUUAUAAUGUUGCGCUACCAAUGUAAACAUUCGUUGUGAUAAUGUCUACUGGCUAGCACAGUCGGCUCUUUCACCAGAGGUCCCGGGCUCAAUCCCUACAGUACGCGAAAUCUUUUAGAGGUCAAUAGACUCGCGCUACAGUACCCAUUCCGCUGGUCGCUAGCUUGGGCCGGCCCAGUCAGGUAUGCGUCUGUGCGUGCGUCCGGCAAUUUGCCGCAAAGAGCGGCACAUAGGAGAGCGCGUCGUUGUGGUCGAGAUGGGAACAAGGGAGCUACAUGGGCUAGGUCUCAUGGUUUUGAUGGGCUUGGCCCAUGUGCGACUAUGCGGACGACGUGACGAAAGGAGGAUGAAACGAUGGGCGAAGCGAAGAGGCGUGGUCAGUCGGCAGCAAAAGAAGCCUUACUCUCUUUUUUAAGUAGUAGAGUUUUUAAGUAGUAGAGAUUUAUUUGGCAUUUAUUUGGAUAAGGAUAACCUUUAUCCAAAGAAAAACGAAACAAGUCAUAUAAUGACAUUAAUUGGAUAAGGAUAACCUUGAUGCCAACAUAUCUAUAUAAGGCGACUGAACGGUACCUCUCAUGACCACAAAAAUAUUCUGGUUGACAGAUUAUUCCAUAACUAUAUAUUUUCUAUUAUUCCGUGUUCUUAGGCAAUGGCGAACAGUGGCAUCUUCCAAGUGAUCAUUCUUUUUCUCAUGGCGCAAGUCUGCUUGCUCAUGAUGAUGGCAGCACCGGUAGCACAUGCAGCUGCUAGACCGGUGGGGUACAAUCCAGUGUGCUGUCCUAGGAACAUCUAUUGUUGCGGGUUCGGUAGCGGAUUGGCCAAUUCACCCGCACCAUCCAUUGUAUCUUGAUGUGUGGUUUUAUUCUCCCCCAAGUAGUAAGCUUGACAUAUAAAUGAUAUAUGUGAUUUAUGUGUUACCUAAUCCUGGAUAUUUGUGAUCCUAGUUUCAAAAAGUUAUUGUACUAGUUACUUACAUAAUAAAAUGGGAGGAGAUUAUUAUAUAUCUUGUUCGGAGUAUACCGCAAAGAGACUUAAUCUUAUGUUUACUUUAGCCCUUUUGAAAACUAGAUUUUUGCCGCAUUGAUUUAAGACAAAAAGAGAGUGGCUAGGCAUACAGGUUGACCUCAUGAGUCUGUAGUGCGUGCCUUUCGGAAUCUCUGUUUUAUCAUUCUGUUGGUCAUAUGUUGUGUCAAGAUCGUCCGUGUUAUGGUGACAUUCUUUAUUUUUCGCAGAGAUCAUACUUUUUUAAAGCAUUUAUUGGGUAAUGAAGUAUGUCACCAAUAAUUAGAAACCAGCUACUAUUGGCAGGCUUGUUUGUGCAUUCAGGGAUGCACACUAUUUCUUUUUGCAUGAAUGUCAAGGUCAUAUAUUAAAAUGGUCUCGUCCCCCGCAGCGGUGGUUCCGGGCCAGGAUCGAAGCAGGCACCGAGGACUUGAUUGCUUUUUGUUUCGUCUUCUAGGGUCCUAUUGGCAAAGUUUCUCAUCUGGGCUGUCAUUUCUACUUUCCGUUGGGUCCUUUUGUAAAAUGUUGCAUCCUGUUUUGUCUUCUGGGGUCCUAUUUGUAAAGUUUCUCAUCUGGACUGUCAUUUCUACUUUCUGUUGGGUCCUUUUGUAAAAUGUUGCAUGCUUAUCUAAUUUAAGUCUGGGUUCUUCCGGAGUUCGAAAAAUAUAUAUUAAAAUGGUCCAACCCUUACAAAACCAUCCUUCCAAAAGCAGAAAAUAAAACACAUAUCCUUGUGUAUAUCAACGACGUCUUUCUCUCGCACUCGCACCCCGUGAGCAAAGCUCGAUAUUGCGUUUGUAUAUCCAACACACCCUCAGAGCUAGGGUAAAUCAUUCUCUGCAUGUGCUUAAUUCCUAAAAAAAUCAAAAAAAAUCAUAUAUGAAUACAACUCUUUGCUCUUUGACAGAGCACAAAAGGAUUGUUUGUUGUGGAAUAUGUGUAAUCUAUCUAUCUAUACUUUAGAGAGUUCUCAGAAACUCCAACGGUUAAUCAGAAAUUACGAACCGUUCAUCUGGUGGGACGGAGUUUGGCACAAGGUCUGGGCAAGGACCGAAAAAGGGAAGGGAAAUGGAUAGAAACUAAAGUGAAGGCAGAGGAUCAGUAGACAAAGAGAAGUGAAGGCCCUGCCCCGAGCUACUCACUAAGCGCAAGCGGUUUCAAUAGUAGAUGCAAUUCUUUUUUUUAUUACCAACCGCCUCGAAUACUUACAGCAAGAGGUUAUGUUGUUCUAACCGCCUCCGGUGUGCAUAUUACAAUCGACUUUGUUCUAUUUGAUCACAACCGCUUGCGGAGGCCGCUUCUAAUGCCCAUUUUCUACUAGUAAAUGUUGGUUAAGUGCAUCAACUUGUGGUGUUUGCAUUGUUCAUGGUCGCCUUUGGUGAAGUUGGAGUCACUGGAUCUAGGGCGAUAGGUGAUAAUGAUGACGCCUUUGUCCAACCAUGGCGGUUGCUCUUUCCGGCUCUGUGUGGAGUCUAUGUUGGUAGCUAGAUCGGCUGCUGCCAUGUGUAUUGUCAUGUUCCAUGACGAUAGUCUGCUCGGCGUGUUGUUAUGAUUUUUGCUCAAUUUUUAAAAAUUAACCAAAUAAUUCUUUUUUGUUAAUAAUGAAAAUGACAAAUCUUUUCUCUCGUUUACUUUUUUUGCAAAUCAACUAAAAGCAUCCACAGCCAAACCUCCUAUUUCUCCUCUAAAAGUCCGAAACGUUCGUUAAUUAGUGUCCGGUGAAAAAAAGUGACCCAACCGGACCCCCACUUCAUCCCUAAGACCGAGACGGCAGGACGCGGCUGCGGAGCUCGCGCUUGGCGGUGCUACUGUGCCUUGGCCGGCCGGAGCUCGCGGGUGUUGCGGCUGCAGUGCCCGUCCUCCGCCGCGCCGGGGCCGAAGCUCGCCUGCGCCUGGCUCCUGUGCCUGCCGCGCCACGCUCGUGUCGGAGUUCGGCAUGGCUGUUGUGCCCGCGCCGCCCCGGAGCUCGCGCCCCGAGCUCUAGCCGUCGUGCUUGCCACCGUGCCGUGCUAGCGCUGGCCACCGCGCUCGGGCUGGCCGUGGUGCUCGCGCAGCCGUGCCGUGCUAGUGCUGUCAUCGCGCUCGAGCUGGCAGCCAUGCUGGCAUAGCCGUGCGUGCGUGCUGGCCAUUGUGCUUGCGCUCGAGCUGGCCUCCAUGCUCACACAACCAGGCAUGCAUGCUGGCCGUUGUGCUCGGGCGGCCAUGUCGUACUAGCGCUGGCCAUCGCGCUCGAGCUAGCCGCCAUGCGUGCUCGCGUUCUUAGGCAAUGGCGAAAAAUAACAUCUUCCAAGUUAUCAUUGUGUUUUUCAUGGUGCAAGUCCGCCUGCUCGUGAUGAUGGUAGCACAGGCAGCACAUGCAGCUGCUAGACCGUUGGGAUACAAUCCAGCGUGCUGCCAUGGGAACAUCUUUUGUUGCGGGUUCGGUGGAGGAUUCGCCAAUGCACCCGCACCAUCUAUUGUGUCUUGAUGUGUGGUUUUAUUCUCCCCCAAGUAGUAGUAUAUAAAUGAUAUAUGUGAUAAAGAGCAUCGUUACAAUCUUCAUACUCUUCAAACAAAAAUUCAAUUUCAUAACCACCCUUCAAAGCAACAAAUUCUUCUAUUUGUUCCACAUCAUAGUAAUCAUAUACACAAUUAGCAUAAGAAGCUAAAGUUUCAUUCUCAUUAAAUUCACAUUGAAAGGGGAGGUGUGGAGCCUCCAUGUUAGAGCAACAAGUACAAUCAUAUCUUAAGCAUAAAUUCCAAGCAUACCCACACCGAUGACCGGCCCUCCUGCCGGAAUAGGUAGCGAAGACACUUUCCACCACCCUGCCGGCCACUGCCGCCGCUGGAAACCACACUCGUGCCGGCCUCCCACUGGAGCCAAGAGAGCUUGAAAACUGACGGCGGUUGGAGGAGAAGACAACCGGCAAGAAGGGUCACGGCUACCAAGUGCUCGACGAAAUGCCAACAAGGUAAAGAAAAUCGUCUUUCACAUUUCGGCCAACGAGUUUUAGACGGUGAUUGCUGUUGACUGAUGGUGAUGGAGUUUGUUUGUUUUGUUGUCGUAGUGUGGAUAUGAACACGGCCGUAUUUUUAGCGUCUUUGGAGUCCUCGGCGGUGAUGGUGCUAGAUGAUCUCAAUUAUGACUUAGUUUGGGAUCUUUCGGAGGCGGCCGAAGAGAUGGAAGAAGAGGAGGUGGCCGACGAAGAUGAAGUUGAGGAGGUGGCUGAAGCAAGCAUGCGGUCGUCAAGGUCACGCACCGCCAACUACAAUCAAGUUGAAGAUGUUGCUCUAUGCUAUGCUUGAAUGAACAUCUUCAUGGAUGCAAUGAUUGGAACGAAUCAAACCAAGACUAUGUUUUGGGGGAGUUACGGACUACUACAACAAGUCCGUGGAGGUGCAAUCAAGCCGUACGCAAGGUUCUCUUGGGUAUCGUUGGAGCACCAUUUACGACCAAUGCAACCGAUGGUCCGGUUGCAUCAAUCAAGUGAAUCAUGUACCAGCAAGCGGUGUGCAAGUGGCGGAGUAUGGCCCCUACAUCAAAGAACUAUUCAAGCAUAGGAACACAAGUUCGGCCACAAGCCCUUCAUGUUGCAUCAUUGCUACAAAGAGCUAUGCAAGAACGAGAAGUGGAUCCAAAGAGUUUCGGAGACCACUCCAAAGAGACAAGGUUGAGCAUAUCUGUUGAGGAGGACAACGAGGUUGAUGAAGAGGCCAACAAUAGACUGAAAGGGAACGAAAUUGCAAAAAAAAGAAAAGAAGAGAUAUGCGUACGUUGGCACAUACAAAGAAGAACUUGUGGCCAUGAUUGAGGCCAAGAAGUUGUUGGCGACCGAACGCAAAGAAGAUAAGAUGGCGAGGUGGAAUGAGCUUUGGAGGAUGAGAAAUGAAAGGCCAAGUUGGUGGCGGAGGAGAGAAAGUUGAAGGUGGAGGAGUGUAGACUUGCACUUGAGGAGGAGAGGAUUCGUGUUGCCAAGAAAGCCGCAGACCGUGCUAUCAUGUUCAUGAAUCCAAACACAAUGGAUGAAACCGCAAGAAAGUAUUGAGAGCUCACUCGUGGGGACAUCUUGACCCAAACGGAAAGCUCUCUUCGGAAUGGUGGUCUUGGUGGAGGCCAAGAGGAUGGUGGUGGUGGUGGUGGCGGUGGUGGUGGUGAUGAUGGUGGUGGCGGCGGCCGGGACGAUGGUGGUAGUGAUGGUGUCCAAGAGGAUGGUAGUGGUGGCGGCGGUGACGAUUUCUUUGCCGAGGACUUCGUUUGAGUUCGUGCAUGCCAUUGGUUGGCUCGAUCCACAACAUACACAUGUUAUGUUUGUGGUGAUUUAGGGUCAAACUUUGUGUUUGAAGUAAUGCAUUUUGGGUGAACAAGGCAUGUUUGAAUUUGAAAUUCGUGAUGAUGAAAUUUAUGCUUUUUAACGGUUAUGUUAUGAAUGUUUUUAUGAUAUAUAUUGUGAAAUGUUUGAAGUUCAUGCGGCUAGGACACAAAACCUAUAUAAAUUAUUUUUUUACUUCACUAAGUUUAGGGGAUCGGCUAGGUGCGGUCACUUAUAGAGGAGUAAAAGUUUACUCCACUAAGCUUACUCUGUCGGAUCCUCCUCUAUUUUCUAGGGAAUCGGUUAGAAUUGGCCUUAGAAGCAACAUGCAAGAGAUCAAAUGAAGCGUACUAGUGCAUACAGGCUCGGUAUAAAAAUAAUGGGAUCUCUAACUAACCUCUAGCAGCACAACUUGAUCACAAACCAAACCAACGGCAGCUUCAUUAGGACCAGCUUCAUUGUGUUGACACCAAAAUAUAUCCAACCCAAUUAGGUGUAGAUGUUGACCUGUACCAAGAACGUCGGUGGGGUGGUAGUGUACUACGGCAACUCCACGCUGGACCUGGAUCUCGAUUUUUUUUUCUUGAACCGGGUUCAGCCCCUUCCCAUUACAUUCAUAACGAAAUUAGAACGGUCUGAAUCUCGGUGAUAUAUAGUUACCAGGUCUGGGGACCAAAAUACUUUAAGGGUGAUUGUAAGAGGCUUGUCAUCGCCAAAUGUAAGAUAGAACAUCACCACUACUUCCAGAACGUCAGGACCACUACAUCACAAUCAACAAUUAAUGCAGAGGUAGAACCAACCAACGACAGCUUAGAACCAACCUACUUAUGUUGACACCAAUACAUCUCCAACCCAAUCAAAUGCAAUGGUUAGGCUUGUCAUUGUGGGGAGCAAGGCUGGUCAUAGUGUGAAGUAAAUUAUACUAGUGUUAUGCAUAUGACACUAGUCUAUGUUACUACCUUCAUAGUAUAAAGUGUCCUCAAGGUAUUUAAGUGAAUACAAUAUUUAUGGUUUGUUACCAAACAACAGAAACCUUACAUAUACUUUGUUUGUCACAACAAAACUGCUCUAUGUAUGAUUCUUUUUUAUCGGACGCUGGUACGACCAGACAACAGAUGCUAUGACCCACAAACAGGUAAUCUAUGAUUUGUCUCUAAUCGUACUGAGUGUUGGACGGAAAUUCAUCGUACGUAUAGCAACGUUCUUGUCACAAAACAAUCAAUGUUGAAAAAAUUGAUCAGUACUAGUUUGAGCAAAAGGAACAUGGAUUGGCCAUUAAUUUGCAUAAAAAACAUGUCAUGGUGUUUAUCUUGGGGAAUCAUUUCUAUGUCUACUUUUCGAAGCAUAUUAAUUAAAAAAAUUGUUGUGUGUUUAAUUAAUCGCUACCCUUGCUCGUGCGCAUGCAUGCAGUUCCAACAGCUGUCUAGUUGCUAUCUCCAAGAAGCUGAAUGGUCGCACAAAAAUCACAAGCCUAAGUUUGAAGAUAAAUUGCAUUUAGAUACAUGUCCAUAGGUGCGGCAGAGCUAUGCGUCUAUACAAUGGUUUGCAUGGGUGAUGAAAUUCCCAAGGGAGCACUGGAGUGGGCACUUGCAUUGGCGAAUCCACGAAGAGAAUGGAGGGUGAGCUCAAAGUUAACGUCAUGUAAACUAAACGCUCUUUCGUCAAAAUUUGGAUAUGUUAAGUAAGAUGGUAAUUAUCUCCUAACAGGGUAGUCUAAAUAAGCCCAAAAAAUUUGAAAUUACUAAGAGCAACUCUAGCAGAACCCGCAAAAGACGCAAACCCGCAAAAUUCCGUUGAGUAUACGGGCUCGGCCCAAUUUUCUGCCAGAACAGAGCCCGUAUACUCGCCCGGCCCGUAAAACUUUUUACCUGGGGCCACAAACCGCCCCCCCAAGCAGUAUAUCUACGGGUUCGCGGUGCAUUUNNNNNNNNNNNNNNNNNNNNNNNNNNNNNNNNNNNNNNNNNNNNNNNNNNNNNNNNNNNNNNNNNNNNNNNNNNNNNNNNNNNNNNNNNNNNNNNNNNNNNNNNNNNNNNNNNNNNNNNNNNNNNNNNNNNNNNNNNNNNNNNNNNNNNNNNNNNNNNNNNNNNNNNNNNNNNNNNNNNNNNNNNNNNNNNNNNNNNNNNNNNNNNNNNNNNNNNNNNNNNNNNNNNNNNNNNNNNNNNNNNNNNNNNNNNNNNNNNNNNNNNNNNNNNNNNNNNNNNNNNNNNNNNNNNNNNNNNNNNNNNNNNNNNNNNNNNNNNNNNNNNNNNNNNNNNNNNNNNNNNNNNNNNNNNNNNNNNNNNNNNNNNNNNNNNNNNNNNNNNNNNNNNNNNNNNNNNNNNNNNNNNNNNNNNNNNNNNNNNNNNNNNNNNNNNNNNNNNNNNNNNNNNNNNNNNNNNNGCCCCUUCCGCCUCCAGCCGCCAUGUGGGGCCGCAAGUGGAGCUCCGGCCGUGACUCCAGGAGCAGGUCCGGCGGGGGCGGCGACCCCGAGCGCGAGUGGCGUGUCCGCUCGGACGGCGCGAGGAAGCGCGGGCCGAGGAAGUGGACGAACAGGGGCCUCUCGCCGCCGCCGAGCUUCCGCGUCCGCGAGACGGAGGAAUACGACCGUCGGCAUGGGCGUAUGCCCUUCUCGGCCACGGGCUCAUCCUCCGCCGCAAGAUCUUCUCACGCCGCGAGCUCUUCCUCUUCCGGCGCGAGCCUUCUCCUCGUGAAGAUGGAGUGGUCGGAGGAGCCGAAGGAGAUCGAGGUCGUCGCCGUCAAGCAGGAGCACGAGGAGAUCGGGAGCCGCGGCGUCAUCGGGCCUGAGGACUUCGUCGCCGAUGUCAACGCGGUCGCGGCUGCCAUUGCUGAACGCAGCUUGCGCGAGGAUGCGGAGCGCUGGUGCCACCACGAGGAGCUCGAAGACCUCGUGUUCCAGCAGGCGGUCGCGGCGAACCAUGCCGCCAAGGAGAAGGACGACAAGUGGCGGCGCAUCCGCGAGGAGCAGAAGGAGAAGUACAUCGACCUCGGCGGCUCCGACGAGGAGGAUUGAGCUCCUCCACCGCAUCGUCCAUGGCCGCGAGCUCGCCGCCGUGAGAUCCCCACCCCCUCUAGUACUAGUAGUGAAUGUAGUAUGUAGUAUGAACUAGUGUUUGUAAUGAAUUAGUGUUUGAUCAUGUAGUAUAUGUAGUAUGUGAUGAACUACUACGGUUGCAAUUUCUCCCGCGAAAUGCAGUUCCAUAUACGGUUUCUGUUUGGCCGCACACGUUUUCGACCCGCAAACGAGAUCUUCGUCGAACUGCAAACGCGUUUUGCGGGUCGGGAUUUUGCGGGGUCUGCUAGAGAUGCUAUAAGGAAACAUGUACUGUUUAUUGAACUUAUUUGCGAUUUUUUUCAAAAAUAUAAAAAAAUGAACAAAAAAAUUGGUUCUAUCUACGAAAAUAGCCAUUAUCUCUCAAUAGUGUUGUAGUAAUAAGCUCACAUUUUCCCAGAUUACAAAUGGACACAUGUAGUAUUUAUUGAAAAAAAAUUAGGAUUGGAAAAAAUACCACGUUUACACAGACCAAGAAGACUCGGUGUUUGGUUUUUAGGCAUAAAAAAGACAUUAUGUGUACUAAUAACGUAGUAGCAAGGAGUCACAUAUGGCAGUUUCUCCAUUUUAACAAGCAUGUGAGGUGAGCGAGUUCGUUAUCUGGUUGUUACAUAGCUAUAUCUAUUCGAGUUCGACUGCACCUUUUUGUAUUUUGUAGCUGUUCUCCGUGUGUCCAUGGGCUGUAUCUACAGUAGUAGCAAAAUAAUUAAGUUUUUCGAGGGCAUGCUUCACCCUAUCGAAGCUUACCUACUAGAAUCACCACUGGGCAUUGGAUACCCUGAUGUCGUCAUGGCAUGCGCCAAGAUUGAGCACCUAAUUGUUGACACACGAACACGUCACGUGUACCCUCGACGCUGGGGAUGAUGCACCGCAGCUCACGUCGAAGGAGACCCGACCGACAGUGCGAUACGCAAGACAGUCGACGGGCGCUUUUGCAGACCCGAAACCCCGCACUCCCGGGAGGGACCCGUCAGGGAGUGUGGCGGCUAUGGGCUGCCCUAGGUCGAUUCGCUCGCCCCUAGAGCAUCGGGAUUCGCAGCUCUCAAAUUCGAGGAACAGCGAAGAACGAGAGAAAAAAACGAUGGAGAGAUAAAACGUAGAUGAAAAAGUAGUAUAUUGAUUUGUUCGAUUGUGUGUUGUUCAAUCGGCCGUCACCCCCAAUAUAUAUAAGAGGCGGCUGGACUUCCCGUACAAGUAAAGGAUUCAUCUAGGCUUUCCUUACAAGAAAUUACAUCAAUUCACGUCCUAGAGUCCUAGUUCUAUUCUAACUCGGAUUCAGUCUGAAUCUGGCCCAACUUCUGUCUUCCUCCUUGCACGGGCCGUCGAGCUCGCAUAGAUCUCCGAUCAAGACGGCCCAAAUACCAAACUUGUGCGCCUCGACGAGACGAACAACUCUCAAGUUGAACACUUCUUCAAAUAAGGCCAUCUUGAAUACUUUUUGAUGUCAUCUUUACCUUCCAGUCGGACUCGGUCUUGUUGCAUCUGGAUUGUCCGAGUCUCGUAGUGAAUUUACAUGCCAUAUACUAUCUCUGAUGAUGAUGACUCCAAAACCAAAGUUUAUUUUUUUGACGAUACACACAACUUACGUAUUGAACACUUCUCCAUCCGAGGUCAUCUUGAUAAACUUUCGGGCACAUGUUCAGUUUCACUCGGAUUCGAGCUCAUCCACUCGGAUUAGAGUCAUUCACUCGGAUCGUCUGACUGGACUUUUUCACUCGGAUGUUAGAAUCUUUCACUCGGAAGACAAUUUUCACUCGGAUGACCAUAUUUUCACUCGGAAGGCAAUCUCUUUACUCGAUCAGCAAGUUUUCAUUCCGACGGUAAUCUUUUCACUCGGAUGAUUAUAUUUUCACUCAGAAGACAAUCUCUUACUCGAUCGGCAAGUUUUCAUUCCGACGGUAACAGUUUCACUCGGAUGAUAAUAAUUUCACUCGGACGAAAAACUUUCACUCGACCGGUAAGUUUUCACUCGGAUGGUAAGCUUUCACUCGAUCGGUAAGUUUUCACUCGGAUGGUAAGCUUUUCACUCGGAUUUUCCGACUGAAAACAUAGCCUGAUGUUGAUUUGUCUCUCCAGGCCUCAUACGACCUCGGAUUGAGACGAAUUAUAUAUGAAAAUCGAUCGGCUCGACGAGACGAAACUAUUCCGUGCUGAAGGUUUUUCGAUUCAAGGCCAUCUUGAGGGCCGAAUUGCUCACGCAUUGCAUCAGACACUCAUCAACAUGUGUCUGGUGUCAAGCGUAAUAUUUUGGUCUCUGGCCUGUCCAGACCGUAUUAACUGUAACUUUUGCAUAUUAACUCAGAUUAAAAUAAUUUAUAUAUGAAAAUCAAUUGCCUCGACGAGAUGAAGACAAUUCCUUUAGAGUGCUCCUUCAUCCGAGGUAGUCCUGAAUGUGUAAUUGGCCGAAAACCACUCGGAAGAUUGAAUUCUGCCACUCGGAGUACAAUUUCGGCCCCUAAUAUGGAGUCGGACGAUGAUAACCUAAACAUCAAAGUUGUUCCACUCGGCGACGUGAAACUUUUCAUGCUGAAAACCCUUUCACUCGAAGCCAUCUCAUUCUCUUUUUAUGCCGUGCCAAAACCUGAUGUCAACACAUGCCCCCUUAUUUUUCGGCAAAGCUUGCACGCCGAAAAAUAAUAUGCACGGUGUUUGUUCUAAGGACGUUGUCAACACUCCAUUGGCCAUUUAUUUUUUCUUAGGGCGAUAAUUAUGUAUCGGCCAUGUUUGUGCUAAGGGCGAUAACCGUAUAUCGGCCAUUUAUUUUUCUUAGGGCGAUAAUUAUGUAUCGGCCAUGUUUGUGCUAAGGGCGAUAAUCGUAUAUCGGCCAUUGCCUACUUAGGCUUCUUGCCACACACUCGGGUGGUAUUUCUUCAAGUAUUUGCCAUUGAGAGCUCUAGGUAACACCGUCCCUUGUAUGGAUUCCACCAAAUAUGAGUUUCCGAAAACUUUUCUUGUAAUCUUAAAAGGACCUUCCCAACUCGGAGACCACUUCCCGAAUGUCCUAUCUCUUGAACCAAUCGGUAGAAUCACUUUCCAGACGAGAUCACCAACUUGAAAAUUCUUCAACUUGACUUUCUUAUUGUAAGCUCUUGCCACCCUCAACUUGUCUCUCUCUAUGGCCUUCAAAGCAGCCAAACGUUUAUCGGCAACCUCAUCAAUAUUGUCCAUCAUCAAGUUAUAAAAGUCUACUGCCGAUAAAUUAUUUUGUUUGGCUAUUCUCAAAGCAUUCAAAUUUACUUCCACUGGUAAAACAACCUCUUGACCAUAUACUAGCUCAUAUGGAGUCACCUUCGUAGCACCAUGCCUUGAAAUUCUAUGUGCCCACAAAGCUUCAGACAACAACUCAUGCCAUCUCCUCGGAUUAUCCUCAAUCUUCUUCUUGAUGAGCUUGAUUAAAAUUUUAUUGCUAGACUCGGCUUGUCCAUUAGCUUGGGCAUAAUACGGAGAGGAAUUGAGCAACUUCAUAUUAUAAGAUUCGGCAAACUCUCUGACUUGGUGUGACAUAAAAGAUGAACCUUGAUCUGUAGUUAACAUUUGAGGAAUACCGAAUCUAUGAAUAAUGUGCUCGGUUAUGAAUUGAAUUACCUCUGUAUGUGUCAUGUUCUUGAGAGGUACUGCUUCAGACCAUUUAGUGAAAUAAUCAGUUUCCACCAAUACGAACCGAUGCCCUUUUGAGGAGGACUGGUGGAUUUCUCCAAUGAAGUCUAAACCCCAACCUCUGAAAGGCCACGGCUUGAUAAUAGGAUGUAACAUAGCAGCAGGAGCCAAUUGAAUAUCACCAAAUUUUUGACAAGCUUCACACCCCUUAUAACAUCCGAAGCAAUCAUUAAUCAUAGUCGGCCAAUAAAACCCAGCACGUCGCAAUAACCAUUUCAUCUUGGGAGCCGACUGAUGAGUGCCACAAAUGCCUUCAUGUACCUCUCCCAUAGCAACUCUUGCCUGGUCCUCGUCCAAGCACUUUAGAAGAACAUCAUCGACUGUUCUGCGAUAAAGACCGUCAUCUCUCAUUGUAUAGUUGAAAGCCAUACGCCGAAUAGACCUGUCCACCCUUUCACUCGGAUUGCACAAGUAAUCAACAAUGGGCUUCCUCCAGUCGGUAUUGUCACCUGCACUAGAUUUUUUGAUAAGGGCCGAAUCAGUGGGUUCUGGUUCGGCCUCUCCUAUAUUGGCAAGACAAGACAUCGGUCUUUGAGAAAUAUGAAAUAUGCCAUGAUCAACAUGAUAACCGGAUGCUUGCUGUGCCAACUCAUUUGCUCUCCAAUUGUCAUGCCUAGAUAUAUGAGCAAUGCUAAAACAAUCCAAUGUAGAAAUUAUAUCUAGACAUUUAUCAAGAUAAACAUUAAGUGAUUCGUCCAAACAUUGAAAGACUUUGGAUAUUUGCUGCACUACUAGUAACGAAUCACCGUAAGCCUCAAUAUGUGUAACACCUAUAGCAAGUAACAUCUCUAGGCCGAAUAACAAUGCUUCAUAUUCGGCUUGAUUGUUUGUGCAAAAAUAUUCUAAGCGGCACGAGGCUUCGGAAAUAGCACCAUGAGGAGAUAUAUAAACAAUACCAACACCUUGUCCAUUGCUACAAACUAAACCAUCAAAGUAUAAUCUCCAUGGUACUAAUGAAACAAGGUUCAUAUCAAUAUCAUGCUUGUCAUUAAUCCGAUGUUCAACAAUGAAACAAUGAAAUUAGCAACAAUUUGGCCUUUCAUGGAUUUUAGAGAUUCAUAAGCCAAAUCAUAUUCAAUCAAAGCAUAAGCCCACUUGCCAAUUCUACCACUAAGAAUUGGCCUAUGCAACAUGUAUUUAAUGACAUCGGUCUGACAAGCUACUACGCAAGCACUCGGCACUAAAUAAUGUCUCAAUUUUGUGCAAGCAUAAUAUAAGCAUAGACAUAAUUUUUCAUUAAAUGUAUACCUUGUCUCGGCGUCCAAUAAGCGCCUGCUCAAAUAUGUAAUAGCAUGCUCUUUUCCUUCGGUUUCUUGAGUCAAAACAGGACCAAUAACACCUUCCUCUGCUGCAAUAUAAAGCUUAAAGGGCUCCCUAUGUUUGGGUGCUUUCAUCACCGGAGGAGUGCACAAAUAAUUCUUGAUCAUCUCAAAGGCUUCUUGCUGUUUCGCCCCCCCAAGUGAAAUCAACAUCAUUCUUUAACCGAAGGAUAGGAGUAAAUGCAUCAACUUACCCUGACAGAUUAGCUAUGAACCUUCUCAAAUAAUUGACCUUGCCAAGGAACUUUUGCAUAUCUCUCUUGCAUGUUGGAGCCUCCACUUUCUGUAUGGCCUCUAUCUUUUUGGGAUCAAUCUCUAUGCCAUCUUCAUGAAUAAUGAAACCCAAAAACUUGCCAGCUGACACGCCGAAUGCACACUUUAAAGGAUUCAUCUUCAGUCCAUACUUUUUCAUUCUUUCAAAAGCUAAACGCAAAUCGGCCAAGUGAGGUUCAAAAGCAUCCAACAUUUUUAAUCCGAAUGUCAUCACUGUCCACUCGAAUAAACCAAGGAAACAAGGGCAUCGAAAAGCUGUCUUGUACAUGUCCUCUUCGGCCAUAAAAAUUUGAUUGUAUCCGGCAUUACCAUCUAGAAAGCUAAUAACCUUAUGUCCAGAAACAUCAUUAAUAAGCAUAUCGGCUAUUGGCAUGGGAUACUCAUCUUUGGGUGUAGCCCUAUUCAAAUCUCUGAAGUCAAUGCACACCCUCAACUUGCCAGAUCCUUUCUUCUCCACUGGGACAAUGUUAGAAAUCCACUCGGCAUACCUGCAAGGUCGAAUGAAAUUAGCUUUAAGCAAACGACCGAUCUCUUCCUUGAUCUGGUCAUAUGUUUUUGGAUUAAACUUUUUGGCCGAUUGUUUGUAAGGUCUAAAACCGGCCUUUAUAGGUAACCGAUGCUCCACUAGCUCUCGGCUUAAACCUGGCAUCUCAUGAUAUUUCCAUGCGAAGCAACAAACAUAUUCUUUCAAUAGCUCGAUUAACUUAGCUUUACAAUCGGCUCUCAAAUUUUUGUUUACAAACAUCGGCCGAGUGACUGAACCAUCUCCAAUAUCUAUCUCUUCUAAUGGAUCGGCCGAUGUAAAACCUUGUCCAAGUUUAUCCAUGUCAUCUAACUCCUCUAUAGACUCAUACAUAUCGUCCUCGCUGGACCGAUAUUUUACAAGACGUUUCUGUAACCACUCGGAACUAGAAUUCAUUUAACAUAUCAUACCUUGGAGCUGAUUGCAUUCAGUCGGCUUUAAAGAGACAGGCACGAAACCAUUCUUGGUCCCGCUGAGAAAAUCGAACUCUGACAAGUCACGCCCCGUCAAGCAAGUAGCAUUGGGGUGUUGCCAAUCCACCGAUGCAUCGGCCAAAGCAACACAGGCCGAGUUAUCUGCAUGAAUGACUUCCACUUCAUCAUCAACCCAUUGGAUCAAAAACUGGUGCAUAGUGGACGACACGCACUGGUUUGCAUGAACCCAAUCACGGCCUAGUAUGACGUUGUAGUUACCUUGCACCUCAGCGACAAAGAAUGCAGUAGCCAAAGUUUUGCUUCCGACUGUAAGCUCCACAUACAUCGCACCUUUGGCUUCAGUUUUCUAUUUGCCUUCAAAUCCAUUGAGCACCAUAUUGGUCUUGAUCAAUUCUUCAUCAGGCAAACCCAAUUUCUUGAAGACUGAAUAGGGCAUAAGAUUUACCACAGCACCACCGUCAACAAGCAUCCGAGUGAGCGGCGACCCAUUGAUAUGACCUCUGAGAUAUAAUGGUUUCAGAUGCGUUACUAGUUCUUUUGGCUUCUCGAAUAUUGCGUUUUUAGGGCCAAAAUCCAGCUGAGCCACCUCCCCUUCCUCAUCUACAGCACGAAACUCAGCAGGUAAGUAAUACACCAUAUUGAUAUCCAUACCUUCAUGAACCGGCGUAGACUCAUAGUCCAACAUAUCAGCCUCCUCCUCGAGUGCAUCCACCGAUUCUGAAAUUUGUCCGAGUGAAGAGGAAGCAAUAGGUAACGUAGACGAUGCAAUGAUUGCAUCGUCCUUUUUUGGUAGUGUAGGUGCUGCUGUGAUAGGUGUAAAAGCUACUGCAUCUUGUAUUUGUUUGGGCCUCCACACUUGUUUUGUAGGUACCAUAGGCCGAGUGUCAUUGAAAAACUUAUCCCUUUGCUUCUCGGCUUCUUGUUCUGCCAUCUCUUGACUCCUUAACCUCUGUAGUUUCCUCUUUUGUGUCUUUGUUAGCCCUGGAGGACACCACUUUGGCUGAGUGUAUUUAGGAUCUCUCGUUUUUACCUGGCUAGUGCUUGCUUCAUGGUCAUUAGCCGAGUGCUUUGGCGCGAUAGCAAGUAUCGGCUCAGUCGGAUUGCUAUGCACAAUUGGCUGCUGUAUGGUGAAUGUUUCGGUGCCGAAGAUAAGUGAGUCGGCAUCCAUUUUCUCCUUGCCUUUUCCCGACUCAACUGCUGCAACACUUGGUGAUUUAACACGCCAUUCUUUUCGACUUUCCAGAUGCAUGAAAUUUCCACUCGGGCGCACCUUUUUACUCCGAUGGAAUCCACUCGGAUGGAUGUCACUCGGAUGGAAUCCACUCGGAUGGAAUCCACUCGGAUGGAAUUCAGUCGGAUGGAAUCUACUUGACCACAUUUUUUCACUCGGAUAGCCUCCACCUGGGUGCAUUCUUACACUCGGAUAAUUUCCAUCCGGUCGCAUGUUUUGACCAGCCGACCGAUAGUUACCGAUGUUUAUUCAACCAUUAUAUGAGUAUUCAAGUCGAUCCCAAACAGUUUGCCUUUGCUCUUCUGGAAACAGCGCCUUUGGUCCACUCGGUUUCAUAUACCGACUGAACAUAUCAUCUGAUGGUGACCUUGGUCGCUUCAACUGUGAUGGCUGGUUAGAGCUAGAACCAACUGACUGAUUGGCAUACUUGGACAGCAACAUAUCAAAAGUUGGCUUGAUCCGCUUGCGUUGCACUUUAGCUUCAUUCCUCUUCCACUUGCCAACUUCUGGACUCUUGGGUUUGACAAAUUUAACUCGAGUAUUUGUUGGGGAUCAUAGCAGAAUUUUAAAAUUUCCUACGCAUCACCAAGAUCCAUCUAUGGAGUAUACUAGCAACGAGGGGAAAGGAGUGCAUCUACAUACCCUUGUAGAUCGCGAGCGGAAGCGUUCAAGUGAAUGGGGUUGAUGGAGUCAUACUCGCCGUGAUCCAAAUCACCGAUGACCGAGUGCCGAACGGACGGCACCUCCGCGUUCAACACACGUACGGAGCAGCGACGUCUCCUCCUUCUUGAUCCAGCAAGGGGGAAGGAGAGGUUGAUGAAGAUCCAGCAGCACAACGGCGUGGUGGUGGAAGUAGCGGGGAUCCCGGCGGGGUUUCGCCAAGCGCAAGCGGGAGAGAAAGGUGUCACGGGAGGGAGAGGGAGGCGCCAGGGGCUAGGGUACAGCANNNNNNNNNNNNNNNNNNNNNNNNNNNNNNNNNNNNNNNNNNNNNNNNNNNNNNNNNNNNNNNNNNNNNNNNNNNNNNNNNNNNNNNNNNNNNNNNNNNNNNNNNNNNNNNNNNNNNNNNNNNNNNNNNNNNNNNNNNNNNNNNNNNNNNNNNNNNNNNNNNNNNNNNNNNNNNNNNNNNNNNNNNNNNNNNNNNNNNNNNNNNNNNNNNNNNNNNNNNNNNNNNNNNNNNNNNNNNNNNNNNNNNNNNNNNNNNNNNNNNNNNNNNNNNNNNNNNNNNNNNNNNNNNNNNNNNNNNNNNNNNNNNNNNNNNNNNNNNNNNNNNNNNNGGGGGGCGCCCCAGCCCACUAAGGGCUGGUUCCCUUCCCACUUCAGCCCAUGGGGCCCUCCGGGAUAGGUGGCCCCACCCGGUGGACCCCCAGGACCCUUCCGGUGGUCCCGGUACAAUACCGAUAACCCCCGAAACUUUCCCGGUGGCCGAAACUGGACUUCCUAUAUAUAAUUCUUCACCUCCGGACCAUUCCGGAACUCCUCGUGAUGUCCGGGAUCUCAUCCGGGACUCCGAACAACUUUCGGGUUUCCGCAUACUAAUAUCUCUACAACCCUAGCGUCACCGAACCUUAAGUGUGUAGACCCUACGGGUUCGGGAGACAUGCAGACAUGACCGAGACGCCUCUCCGGUCAAUAACCAACAGCAGGAUCUGGAUACCCAUGUUGGCUCCCACAUGUUCCACGAUGAUCUCAUCGGAUGAACCACGAUGUCGAGGAUUCAAUCAAUCCCGUAUACAAUUCCCUUUGUCAGUCGGUACGUUACUUGCCCGAGAUUCGAUCGUCGGUAUCCCAAUACCUUGUUCAAUCUCGUUACCGGCAAGUCACUUUACUCGUACCGUAAUGCAUGAUCCCGCGGCUAACUCCUUAGUCACAUUGAGCUCAUUAUGAUGAUGCAUUACCGAGUGGGCCCAGAGAUACCUCUCCGUCAUACGGAGUGACAAAUCCCAGUCUCGAUCCGUGCCAACCCAACAGACACUUUCGGAGAUAGCCGUAGUGCACCUUUAUAGUCACCCAGUUAUGUUGUGACGUUUGGCACACCCAAAGCACUCCUACGGCAUCCGGGAGUUGCACGAUCUCAUGGUCUAAGGAAAUGAUACUUGACAUUGGAAAAGCUCUAGCAAACGAACUACACGAUCUUUUGUGCUAUGCUUAGGAUUGGGUCUUGUCCAUCACAUCAUUCUCCUAAUGAUGUGAUCCCGUUAUCACUGACAUCCAAUGUCCAUAGUCAGGAAACCAUGACUAUCUGUUGAUCAACGAGCUAGUCAACUAGAGGCUUACUAGGGACACGUUAUGGUCUAUGUAUUCACACAUGUAUUACGAUUUCCGGAUAAUACAAUUAUAGCAUGAACAAUAGACAAUUAUCAUGAACAAAGAAAUAUAAUAAUAACCAUUUAUUAUUGCCUCUAGGGCUCCAACAGUCUCCCACUUGCACUAGAGUCAAUAAUCUAGUUACAUUGUGAUGAAUCGAACAUCCAUAGAGUUCUGGUGUUGAUCAUGUUUUGCUUUAGGGAGAGGUUUAGUCAACGGAUCUGCUACAUUCAGGUCCGUAUGUACUUUACAAAUAUCUAUGUCUCCAUUCUGAACACUUUCAUGAAUGGAGUUGAAGCGACGCUUGAUAUGCCUGGUCUUCCUGUGAAACCUGGGCUCCUUGGCAAGGGCAAUAGCUCCAGUGUUGUCACAGAAGAGCGUCAUCGGGCCCGACGCAUUGGGAAUCACCCCUAGGUCGGUGAUGAACUCCUUUAUCCAGACUGCUUCCUGUGCUGCCUCUGAGGCUGCCAUGUACUCCGCUUCACAUGUAGAUCCCGCCACAACGCUUUGCUUGCAACUGCACCAGCUUACUGCCCCUCCAUUCAAAAUAUACACGUAUCCGGUUUGUGACUUAGAGUCAUCCAGAUCUGUGUCGAAGCUAGCAUCGACGUAACCCUUUACGACAAGCUCUUCGUCACCUCCAUAAACGAGAAACAUAUCCUUAGUCCUUUUCAGGUACUUCAGGAUGUUUUUGACCGCUGUCCAGUGUUCCAUGCCGGGAUUACUUUGGUACCUUUCUACCAAACUUACGGCAAGGUUUACAUCAGGUCUGGUACACAACAUGGCAUACAUAAUAGACCCUAUGGCCGAGGCAUAGGGGAUGACACUCAUCUUUUCUCUAUCUUCUGCCGUGGUCGGGCAUUGAGCCGUGCUCAAUUGCACAACUUGCAAUACAGGCAAGAACCCCUUCUUGGACUGAUCCAUAUUGAACUUCUUCAAUAUCUUGUCAAGGUACAUACUCUGUGAAAGACCAAUGAGGCGUCUUGAUCUAUCUCUAUAGAUCUUGAUGCCUAAUAUAUAAGCAGCUUCUCCAAGGUCCUUCAUUGAAAAACACUUAUUCAAAUAGGCCUUUAUACUUACCAAGAAUUCUAUAUCAUUUCCCAUCAAUAGUAUGUCAUCCACAUAUAAUAUGAGAAAUGCUACAGAGCUCCCACUCACUUUCUUGUAAACACAAGCUUCUCCAUAAGUCUGUGUAAACCCAAACGCUUUGAUCAUCUCAUCAAAUCGAAUGCUCCAACUCCGAGAUGCUUGCACCAGCCCAUAGAUGGAGCGCUGGAGCUUGCAUACCUUGUUAGCAUUCUUAGGAUCGACAAAACCUUCCGGCUGCAUCAUAUACAAUUCUUCCUUAAGAAAGCCGUUAAGGAAUGCCGUUUUGACGUCCAUCUGCCAUAUCUCAUAAUCAUAGUAUGCGGCAAUUGCUAACAUGAUCCGGACAGACUUCAGCUUCGCUACGGGUGAGAAAGUCUCAUCGUAGUCAACCCCUUGAACUUGUCGAUAACCCUUAGCGACAAGUCGAGCCUUGUAGAUGGUUACAUUACCAUCCGCGUCUGUCUUCUUCUUAAAGAUCCAUUUAUUUUCUAUGGCUCGCCGAUCAUCGGGCAAGUCAGUCAAAGUCCAUACUUCGUUUUCAUACAUGGAUCCUAUCUCGGAUUUCAUGGCUUCUAGCCAUUUGUUGGAAUCAGGGCCCGCCAUCGCUUCUUCAUAGUUCGAAGGUUCACCGUUGUCUAACAACAUGAUUUCCAGGACAGGGUUGCCGUACCACUCUGGUGCGGAACGUGUCCUUGUGGACCUACGAAGUUCAGCAGUAACUUGAUCCGAAGCUUCAUGAUCAUCAUCAUUAACUUCCUCCCGAGUCGGUGUAGGCACCACAGGAACAUCUUCCCGCGCUGCGCUACUUUCCGGUUCGGAAGGGGUGACUAUCACCUCAUCAAGUUCCACUUUCCUCCCACUCAAUUCUUUUGAGAGAAACUCUUUCUCCAGAAAGGACCCGUUCUUGGCAACAAAGAUCUUGCCUUCGGAUCUGAGGUAGAAGGUAUACCCAAUAGUUUCCUUGGGGUACCCUAUGAAGACGCAUUUCUCCGACUUGGGUUCGAGCUUUUCAGGUUGAAGUUUCUUGACAUAAGCAUCGCAUCCCCAAACUUUUAGAAACGACAGCUUAGGUUUCUUCCCAAACCAUAAUUCAUACGGUGUUGUCUCAACGGAUUUCGACGGAGCCCUAUUUAAAGUGAAUGCGGCAGUCUCUAAAGCAUAGCCCCAAAAUGAGAGCGGUAGAUCGGUAAGAGACAUCAUAGAUCGCACCAUAUCCAAUAGAGUGCGAUUACGACAUUCGGACACACCAUUUCGCUGAGGUGUUCCAGGCGGCGUGAGUUGUGAAACUAUUCCACAUUUCCUUAAGUGUGUGCCAAACUCGUGACUUAAAUAUUCCCCUCCACGUUCUGAUCGUAGGAACUUUAUUUUCCUGUCACGUUGAUUCUCAACCUCACUCUGAAAUUCCUUGAACUUUUCAAAGGUCUCAGACUUGUGUUUCAUUAGGUAGACAUACCCAUAUCUACUUAAGUCAUCAGUGAGAGUGAGAACAUAACGAUAGCCACCGCGAGCCUCAACACUCAUUGGACCGCACACAUUGGUAUGUAUGAUUUCCAAUAAGUUGGUUGCUCGCUCCAUUGUUCCGGAGAACGGAGUCUUGGUCAUCUUACCCAUGAGGCAUGGUUCGCACGUGUCAAAUGAUUCAUAAUCAAGAGACUCCAAAAGUCCAUAUGCAUGGAGCUUCUUCAUGCGCUUGACACAAUUGUGACCAAGGCGGCAAUGCCACAAGUAUGUGGGACUAUCGUUAUCAACUUUACAUCUUUUGGUAUUCACACUAUGAAUAUGUGUAACAUCACGUUCGAGAUUCAUCAAGAAUAAACCAUUGACCAGCGGGGCAUGACCAUAAAACAUAUCUCUCAUAUAAAUAGAACAACCAUUAUUCUCGGAUUUAAAUGAGUAGCCAUCUCGCAUUAAACGAGAUCCAAAUACAAUGUUCAUGCUCAAAGCUGGCACUAAAUAACAAUUAUUGAGGUUUAAAACUAAUCCCGUAGGUAAAUGUAGAGGUAGCGUGCCGACGACGAUCACAUCGACCUUGGAACCAUUCCCGACGCGCAUCGUCACCUCGUCCUUCGCCAGUCUCCGUUUAUUCCGCAGCUCCUGUUUUGAGUUACAAAUAUGAGCAACCGCACCGGUAUCAAAUACCCAGGAGCUACUACGAGUACUGGUAAGGUACACAUCAAUUACAUGUAUAUCACAUAUACCUUUGGUGUUGCCGGCCUUCUUGUCCGCUAAAUAUUUGGGGCAGUUCCGCUUCCAGUGACCACUUCCCUUGCAAUAAAAGCACUCAGUCUCAGGCUUGGGUCCAUUCCUUGGCUUCUUCCCGGCAACUGGUUUACCGGGCGCGGCAACUCCCUUGCCGUCUUUCUUGAAGUUCUUCUUACCCUUGCCUUUCUUGAACUUAGUGGUUUUAUUCACCAUCAACACUUGAUGUUCCUUUUUGAUCUCCACCUCCGCUGAUUUCAGCAUUGAAUAUACCUCAGGAAUGGUCUUUUCCAUCCCCUGCAUAUUGAAGUUCAUCACAAAGCUCUUGUAGCUUGGUGGAAGCGACUGAAGGAUUCUGUCAAUGACCGCGUCAUCCGGGAGAUUCACUCCUAGCUGAGACAAGCGGUUGUGUAACCCAGACAUUCUGAGUAUGUGCUCACUGACAGAACUAUUUUCCUCCAUUUUACAACUGAAGAACUUGUCAGAGACUUCAUAUCUCUCGACCCGGGCAUGAGCUUGGAAAACCAUUUUCAGCUCUUCGAACAUCUCAUAUGCUCCAUGUUUCUCAAAACGCUUUUGGAGCCCCGGUUCUAAGCUGUAAAGCAUGCCGCACUGAACGAGGGAGUAAUCAUCAGCACGUGAUUGCCAAGCGUUCAUAACGUCUUGGUUCUCUGGGAUGGGUGCUUCACCUAGUAGUGCUUCUAGGACAUAAUCUUUCUUGGCAGCUAUGAGGAUGAUCCUCAGGUUCCGGACCCAGUCCGUAUAGUUGCUGCCAUCAUCUUUCAGCUUGGUUUUCUCUAGGAACGCGUUGAAGUUGAGGACAACGUGGGCCAUUUGAUCUACAAGACGUAUUGUAAAGAUUUUAGACUAAGUUCAUGAUAAUUAAGUUCAUCUAAUCAAAUUAUUCAAUGAACUCCCACUCAGAUAGACAUCCCUCUAGUCAUCUAAGUGAAACAUGAUCCGAGUUAACUAGGCCGUGUCCGAUCAUCACGUGAGACGGACUAGUCAAGAUCGGUGAACAUCUCCGUGUUGAUCGUAUCUUCUAUACGACUCAUGCUCGACCUUUCGGUCUUCCGUGUUCCGAGGCCAUGUCUGUACAUGCUAGGCUCAUCAAGUCAACCUAAGUGUAUUGCGUGUGUUCCGAGGCCAUGUCUGUAGGCUCGUCAACACCCGUUGUAUGCGAACGUUAGAAUCUAUCACACCCGAUCAUCACGUGGUGCUUCGAAACAACGAACCUUCGCAACGGUGCACAGUUAGGGGGAACACUUUCUUGAAAUUAUUAUAAGGGAUCAUCUUACUUACUACCGUCAUUCUAAGCAAAUAAGAUGCAAAACAUGAUAAACAUCACAUGUAAUCAAAUAGUGACAUGAUAUGGCCAAUAUCAUUCUGCUCCUUUGAUCUCCAUCUUCGGGGCGCCAUGAUCAUCUUCGUCACCGGCAUGACACCAUGAUCUCCAUCAUCAUGAUCUCCAUUAUUGUGUCUUCAUGAAGUUGUCACGCCAACGAUUACUUCUACUUCUAUGGCUAACGCGUUUAGCAAUAAAGUAAAGUAAUUUACAUGGCGUUAUUCAAUGACAUGCAGGUCAUACAAAAAAUAAAGACAAAUCCUAUGGCUCCUGCCGGUUGUCAUACUCAUCGACAUGCAAGUCGUGAUUCCUAUUACAAGAAUAUGAUCAAUCUCAUACAUCACAUAUAUCAUU
rnacentral:lncRNA from 1 species